rnacentral:lncRNA from 1 species
UUUUUUUUUUGGGUGAGAACUAAAUCUCUUUUAUACCAGGGGUCUUCUUUGCUAAUGUAUUCGUUGACUGUAGGGUCUUGAUGAAAUCAUUGACAAAGCACUUUCUAGCUCUGAUGGUUCGAACAAAUGUGAAAAUUUUGUCUCUCUAGUGCAGAAUUGGCUGGUUAAGAUUCAGGUGUGAUAAAAUACCAGUUAUUUUGUUAAUUCCUUUGCUCAUGUUACUGAAGUUUUAUAUAAACUUUUCCUCUUGAUAAUUUAAACAUUGUUUGAUGCUUGUGUUGGCUGUACCUAUUUAAAUGCUUUUUUAGUGAACAAACUUGAUACAAUUCUUGUCAUCUUAUCUGGCCUAUUAGAAUAAGAGAUUAAGAGGUACUCCCUCCGUCCGAAAAUACUUUUCAUCAAAAUGGAUAAAAAGGGAUGUAUCUAGAACUAAAAUACAUCUAGAUACAUCCCCUUUUAUUCAUUUUGAUGACGAGUAUUUCCGGACGGAGGGAGUAUAGUUGAAUUUGUGGUGACUAGUUGUCAAAGUACCACUUGCAAACUAUUAAGCAUAACAGUGUAGCUUUACAGUUUAAUUAUACAGAUUCCAUAUCAGAAAUAUUAUACUUAUCCAUGAAGGUUAUCUUCCUUGCAAGUUGAUACAUAAUCCCUCUGUAACUUGUUUCUAUAGAACUUAUGGCUAGUAAUUUAUGUUUAAGUAUUCAAGAUCUGUCCUUACAUUCUUCUUUUCAGGAUGCUAGUUCAUUGCGUGGUUCCUUUGGCGAAACAAAUCAAAGUGAAUUGGCUGCAUUCACGUCAUAUGCACUGGCAUUUCCAAACUCCUUCCUGGCCCUGGUGGACACAUACGAUGUUAGUUAAUCUUGCUCUGCAUUAGUGUACUCGCUUUCUAUGGCAUGGCCUACAUAUUCAUCUGUUCAAUAGUUUUUUUAAGCUGACUAACUUUGUCGAUGCAGUAAUAAUUCAUUAUUACUUAAAACAUGUUUUCUGUGACAUGCUUAAACUGACUUGUUUCUGUAUGUUCCUUCUUUUAUGGUUAUGGAUUAAAAUAUGUAUAUCUAGCCCAUAUAUGUUGAAUCUUCUCUUCAUGUAACUGUUUUAAAUUAUUAUCCAAGCCAAAUUUAAAAUGUGCUACUGUAGGGGCCUCCCCUACAAUUUUCCUUUUCUUUUAAAAUGUGUCCCCUUGACUUUAACAAUUAUACUCUAGUUAUUUCAGGACUGACCUUGACAGAACUAAUGCAUUAACUCAGGUUAUAUAUGAGCACGGUUGAUGUUUAAGUAUGUAUCGUUGCUAGGUCAUGAGAAGCGGAGUGCCAAACUUCUGCGCUGUUGCUUUAGCCCUCAAUGAUAUGGGGUACUAUUGCCUCACCACUUCUUUGUAUUUUAAUAUUUUCUUCUUAUUCGCCCAACUUGCUUCUGUUACAUGUGAAGUUAUAGCUGAUGAUAACACAAAAUAAAAUGAAGUUUUCUCCUGGGUGUGUUUCCUUGCUAAUACUUUUCAGAUACUUAAUAGUUUCUACAUGCGUAUAGUUUGUUUAUUUUGAGUUUUUCUUCCAUUAUACAUAAAAGUUGCAUGUUUGAAUUCAUAGGCAUGGACUAGCUUUAUUUUUCAUACCUAAUGGGUCACUGAUGCCUAAUUUGUUGAACCCAGACCUCACAGCGUAGACAUUUGAUACCAACCAUGCGCCCUUGUUGUGAUAUGUAACAGUAAUUAUUAUCAAGUCUCUCCUGUAUUUUGAACAAUCAUCUUGAGCAUAAGCAGAAACACGAACUGAUUAUACUGGCUCAUCCCUUUGCUUUAGAAAUUUAGGUUUCUUGAUUGCAUUUUUUGGUUACUUUAGGAAUUUAAUUACAUCCCUUGCUGAACUUUAGGAGUAAGAUCUGCCCGCAACAUGUUAGCUGCUGUUUGAACAACAAAUGAUUUAAAAGAAGGGAUGGAUUUAGUUGAUAGGUCUGGCUAGUGCCUAUAUUCAAUUUCCUUAUCACACUUACAUAUUUGAGCUGAAAUUUGAAUCUAUUGUUGAUUCAUAAACCUUAGUUGUUAAGCAUUAAUGAAAACUUUCCGUUUCAGGUAUAAGGCAGUUGGAAUUAGGUUAGACUCUGGUGAUUUAGCAUAUCUGUCUAUCGAGACACGCAAGUUCUUCUGUGCAAUUGAAAAAGAAUUUGGGGUUGUUGGCUUUGGAAAAACAAAUAUUACAGCAAGCAAUGAUCUCAAUGAAGAAACAAUUGAUGCAUUGAACAAGCAGGUAAGCUGUACUCUAGAAGUCCAGAUAGUUUGCUGCAUACCACACCUUUCGAGCUAUUAUUAAGUUUGUACUUGUUAAUGAAAGUUUUUCAACAAUUUUACAUUCAGAUGGUUGCUACUUGUUAAUGGUUUUGGUCAUUUGGUGGUUUUACAACAGUCUUCGUUAGUUUUAAUUAAGAUUAACCGUGAUAGUGAGUAAAAAGUAUGCCCAGAAUUGUAAAACUAAUUUAGAUAAAUAUUAAGAGUAAACUUACCCAGCUGGUCCUGGCAAUUGACAACUUACUACAAAGUUUAAGGUUUGCUUCAAAAUACUUGGUAUCAGUCUAUCAUCUGCUGAAUGAAACUUUUGCUGUAUUGAAAUCCAGCGCUUAACAUGCCUGUGAAUUUGAUGGAUAUGCAUCUGCUCUGCUCAAAGACAUCUGUUUUUGUGCCUUCACCACGGUCGAUGGCUUGGUGAAUGACUAUUGACUUUUUGUGUAGGGUCAUGAGGUAGACUCAUUUGGCAUUGGCACCUACCUAGUUACCUGCUAUGCACAAGCAGCACUUGGUUGUGUAUUCAAGUUAGUUGAAAUUAACAAACAGCCUCGUAUUAAACUCUCCGAAGAUGUCACAAAGGUAUAUAUGUUAGUACUAGUAUUCAAAGUGAAAAGAUAUAGCUUUAGCAACCUCUGGUGUACCAGAAUGACUAAUUUGUAGGUCUAUGCUCCAGGUAUCGAUACCAUGUAAAAAACGAUGCUACAGAUUGUAUGGAAAAGAAGGUUAUCCUUUAGUUGAUAUAAUGACCGGACAAGACGAGCCAAGCCCAAAGGUAAACAGUAUUCAUGUUACGCUUGAGCAGUAAGCCUGCAUCAAAUAAUGUGUCUCUGCUACCAAGCAUUUACUUAUAAUUAGUUAGCAGAUAUUUAUAUGUUUGUGGGCUUGAUCAUUAUUGCAUUCCUUGAUAGGUUGGUGAGAGGAUUCUGUGUCGUCACCCUUUCAUUGAGUCAAAGAGAGCUCAUGUUGUUCCACAGCAUGUCGAGGAGUUGUUGAAGUGCUACUGGCCUGGAAAUUCAUGUAUGUGUAUCCACUCGAGUACCUUCUACUGUUCUACAUAUCUCAGUACUGAAUCUGGUCCAUCUGAAUGUAUGCGUCAUAAAUCAUAACUUGUGUGUCUCAAGUUGAAAAGGACAUUGAUGCCAAUCUGUAUCCUCUUGUCAAUGCCGUAGCCGUACAAAGGGAGGAGCUGCCAUCCCUCAAUGAGAACAGGAGUCGGUGCAUGCGUCAGCUGGAACGGAUGAGGCCGGACCAUCUGAGGAAGUUAAAUCCAACACCAUACAAGGUUCGGUCAAUUACUAUUAAGCUUGAUGUCACUUAUCUGAUCCCCUUGCAUCUCAAUCUCACCACGCACAUGCGCUCUGCGCGCCUCUUGAUCAGGUGAGCGUGAGCGCCCAGCUCUACGAUUUCAUCCAUUUCCUGUGGCUCAACGAAGCUCCAGUCGGCGAACUUCAAUGAAGAAAGAUGACAACGGGAGCAUCCAGCACCGGAUCGAAUCCCCAUAGCCUGUUUUUUCUUUCAAGAAUAACGCAUGUGUAUCUUCCACGAUACACUGGAAGGUGUUCAUGUCGAAAGGACACGGCCUCAACAUAUAUAGUGCUCAUGUGCUCAACAAGCAUCACACCAGUGUAUGCACUAUCGACUUAACAGAGUACCAUGCUGUUGUGCUUUGAAAAAAAAAUAAUCUCUUGCAAGGAUAUGAAAAAAAUAAUGGUGAGAAGCUGAGGUAAAAUAUGGAAACUAUCUUUGCCUCACUUUCUAUGAACUGCACUCUGGUAUACAUUGUGUUAGGGACUUGGGGUGUCUUUGAUUCACAUGAUUCUAAAAUGUAUAAAUAGGAAAAAAACAUAGAAUUGAGAUGCCAUGCCAUGUUAAAUCCUACUUCCUCCGUCCGGAAAUACUUGUCAUCAAAAUGGAUGAAAAUGAAUGUAUCUAGAACUAAAAUACAUCUAGAUACAUCUAUUUCAAUGACAAGUAUUUCCGGACGGAGGGAGUACAUGAAUUUGUACUACUGAGUUGUUUGAUUAUAUUCAUAGGAAAAAUGUAGGAGAUUUUCUGAAGGAUUAGGUGCAUGCCAUAGUUGUUAUGUACUCCUACUCCCUCCGUUUGAAAAUAACUGGGGUCGUUUUAGUUCAAAUUAACGAAGGAAUAGAAACGAAGGAAAAUAACCAUGAGGUUGGACUCCGAUGGAAAUUUUUCUUUGAAAUUGUAUGCAAACUAAACUAUAGGGAAGAUUCAUAUGGUUUUCAUUCCUAAACCAAAUUUAUAGAGAAAUUCCUACGUAAUGGAAUCUUCUAAAUUCCUCUGUUUUUUUUAAACCAAAGAGGUCUUUAUCUUGUGUAUAAGUGGCGUGGACUUAAAUUAGAUUUGUUUCCUCGUACGUACGAGUACUCAGCUUCACAUAUGAAUCGGAUUCGGAGCUCCUAAGUCCUAACAGAGUCGGAUUCGCCUCUCCGGGAGUCCAUAUAUGGUGGACGCUGCCUGCCCCAUGGACACACCGCAACGUACGUACACAUGUUUAGUUUCGAUCCCAUGGCGGCCGGCGGAAGGAGCGGCGGCGGCAGCGCGGUGGAUGCGGCGGAGAGGCUUCACAGGCUCGCCGAGCAGCGCUUCCUCGUCGGCGACGUGGCCGGGGCGCUCCGGGCGGCGCGGGAGGCCCAGGCGCGCUGCCGGUCGCUCCCGGGGCUCGCGCACGCCCUCGCCGCCUACGAGGUCCACGCCGCCGCGGCCGCCUCCCGCGCCAGCGGCAGGAACUGGUACGCCGUCCUCAGCGUCNNNNNNNNNNNNNNNNNNNNNNNNNNNNNNNNNNNNNNNNNNNNNNNNNNNNNNNNNNNNNNNNNNNNNNNNNNNNNNNNNNNNNNNNNNNNNNNNNNNNNNNNNNNNNNNNNNNNNNNNNNNNNNNNNNNNNNNNNNNNNNNNNNNNNNNNNNNNNNNNNNNNNNNNNNNNNNNNNNNNNNNNNNNNNNNNNNNNNNNNNNNNNNNNNNNNNNNNNNNNNNNNNNNNNNNNNNNNNNNNNNNNNNNNNNNNNNNNNNNNNNNNNNNNNNNNNNNNNNNNNNNNNNNNNNNNNNNNNNNNNNNNNNNNNNNNNNNNNNNNNNNNNNNNNNNNNNNNNNNNNNNNNNNNNNNNNNNNNNNNNNNNNNNNNNNNNNNNNNNNNNNNNNNNNNNNNNNGUCACGCACGACGACAUCAAGCGGCGUUACCGCCGGCUCUGCCUUACCCUGCACCCGGACAAGAAUCGGUCUGCAGCCGCCGACGGCGCGUUCAAGCUGCUCCAGCAGGCAUGGGGGGCGCUCUCGGUCCGCCACCCGCCGGCGCCCACCGUCACCGCGGCCACGGGAGUCACCAAGCCGCGCUCUGCCCCGACGCCGUCGCCGCGACCCCGCCCACCGGCGCCUCCCGCUCCGGCCGCUAAGCGCAGCAACCACAGCCGACCACCAUCUCCGGCCGCCAACAACGCGCCCAGGGACGACGACAAGCGGCGAGCCGGCGCCGGCGACACGUCUCACAGCCGGCCACCGCCACCGGCCGCCCACGCGCCCAAGGCCGAGCAAGCCAGCAAGGACACGCGUCACACGCCGGCGUCUGACUCUCACGCGAAGCCCGGCAACCACAGCGGACCACCGCCAGCGGCAGCCUCCGCAGCCCACACGCCCAAGGACGAGGGAUCCGGCACGGACACGGACACGCCGCCGCGGCGCCAGGGGAGCAGGAACAGCAGGAGGUUCCCGUGCCCGGCGCGGUGCGCGCACUGCGGCGCGCGGUUCGCGUCGUCGACGGUGUCCGUGGGCACGUGGCACCUCCACUGCAAGGCCUGCCACAGGUACGCCAAGGUGUGCGUGCGCAGCCCCUCCAACGCAGAGAUCUGCAGGUGAAGAAGCUGCAACCACGAUGGAGGUGACGGAGCAGAUGAUCAUAUCCUAGAUUGGUAUGCCAUUUUCAGUUCACUCGUCAAUGUUUCCUUCCAUUUUCUUCUUCUUCUUCUUCUUCUCAGGAGAGGAUGUGUGCUGCGUACGAUCGUGUUCAUGUCUGAAAUCCUCGGCGGCCAAGAUGUGGUGCUAUAUAAUCUAAUAGGUUGGUUUUGAAUUUGAAGUCGAAUCCUCUGAAGUCUGGAAUCCUUCACUGUGAUCUUUUGCUUUUUUAUGUAUGUUUUGUUACUUGUCUCAAGGUAGAAGAGGAGAGGAAGACAUGCUAUGCUGUAUGCUAUGUGCUCACUUGGUUCGGGUGGUUUGUCAAUUUCCAGCACUAUUCCUUGUUUAAUUUCGUUCUUGUUGCGCUCAGUGUCCUGUCCCAGUGAAAUGAUCAAUUCAACGUUUCAGUGCUAAAACAGAUCCGCUCUCCCGGCUGGCCAAGAGGAAAUAGAGUACGAAGGACGAUCCUUAUGGAAACAGUUGAGUCCAAAUCUGAUCCAUCUUGCGCAGGUACCUAUUAACCGGAACCUCAUGAAAAAUCAUGUCUCCAACUUUCAAAGUAAUAGUGAAAAUUUUGGUAAAAUAAUAAGAUUAUAUAAAUUUUAUGUUUCACUUUCACAUGGCCCAUCACCAUCAUUGACAGUUGGACAUGCAUAUUGCAUUGCACAAAGCAUAACACAAAUUGCACUGCAUUCCAAAUCAACUACAUCGAUCGAAAUGAUAUAACUACAUUUUAUCAAAAUACUGUUGGAAAUAUGAGCAAUUUAUCGAGUGAUUUUAUUAACAGAAAUACUAGAUAAAGCAUGACUAGUAUAGCAGUGAUAAAACAAGCCAUGCGAUUUGACAAAGAGAAGUAAACAACAUCUUCAUAUAUGUACCGUAACUAAACAUAUCUUGAGCAGACAGUAUAGCAAGAUGCAUAUAUGAGAUAGAGUCUAACAUAUCUAGAGCAAAUACUAGAACAAGGAACUGUAGCAGAACCUCUAAUAGAAAGGGGACGAACACGUACGGGGUAGCAGCAGCAGAAGCGCUGGACUUGGGGUUGGUGUCAUCGCCAGCCAUGUCGUCGAGGAGGUCGUGGACGUCGGGGAAGUAGUCGUCGGAGUCCGGGGCGUCCGUGACGAAGAAGCCAAUAGUCGGGCGAAGCGCUCCCCAAAAAUCUUAUCACCCUUCUCCCGUACAGGACUCAAAAGGUGCGGUUUCGGAGGCCUACUGUCCCGACCUGCGGUGCACGCCGCAAGCCGGGAUGGGGAAGAUUGUAGCAGCAGCGCGGUGCUCAGGAACUGUGUGGCGAGAGGAAGAGGACCUUCUGAUGUGUCUCUCGGGAGAGGAGCGACCUCUCUUAUAUAGGCACAGGAGAGGGACGCGAACAUGCUGCGCCGGGAGGUGAAGAAACGGAGGGAGACGAAGUGAACAGGCAGCACGCGAAGAGGUGCGCCAUUCGUAUUCAUUAUCCACUACCGCAAAAACUUUUCAGCUCCUAGGUGACCUUUCGUAUACCCGUAGUGCGUGGCAAAAAUUAGACAUUGGCUCGGCUCAUUCCCGCAACCCGCGGCGCGUCGUGGCGAGGCGUGGCGUGGCGGGCGGAGGAGGAGGAGCGCGCGUGGAUGUCUCUCUUGUUCUCAUGCUCAUACAAGUGGGGAAGGAGCCUCCCUUAUAAAGAGGUCCAACCCCCUCUAAACUAGCAAUGUUGGACUAAACUUUAGUUCCACCUCUUGCCUUGCACGAAUGGGCUGUGUGGGCCUCUAGGAUUUAUUAGGAAUUUCUGAAAUAGUUAUUGGGCUGCCCAAAUAGACUAAAUUCCAGCAAUCCCCCACCAGAUCCCAGAGGCACACAGAAAUUUGCCUUUGGUUCCAAAACACUGUUUUAUAUACUGGUACUGCAGUGGAGACUGUUAAGUUGAACUUCCACCUAGAACUCUAUGCUACACUAGUAAGCAACUUGAACAGUGAACUGGGCCUUGAACUGCAAGUUUUCUGCUAAUCUAGCUUCACAUAAAGCCUUGACCGAUACGUGGCUACCGUGGGUCUUCCCCGCGGGUGGAGCUUAUGCGUCAUACUCCGUGACCUUUCAUGAGUUUACUAGAGAGAACCCUACUCUCAUAGAUUGCGACGUUUGACAAUCAGACUCAUAUAGGUGUGUUCUUCAAAAGAUGUUCUGCAGGAUAACAUCUCUGCUUAAAUGAGCCACUUAGAACACAUUAAGAUAUACAUCAACCUGCCAUGCAGAUUCGGAGAGUAUUGCAUCUUCAUGGAGUGGUAUUGUGAAUAGUAAGGAUACUCUCCUCUCAGUUGACUAACAGCUUGUCUUCCACAUCUAAUUCACGGGAUCUCCGAUCACAAAGAAUAGAUUACCACUAUGAACAACUCAUAUUGUGGGUCUCAUUCCCAUCUCCCUCGAUGCACUAUCUAUCACAUUACGUGAUAGACCCUUAGUAAAAGGAUCUGCCAGAUUUUUAGACGUUUGGAUAUAAUCCAAUGCAAUAACUCCGAAGUUUCUCAUUUUCCUGACAGACUUUAACCUUCUCUGAACAUGUCUUGAUGACUUCAUGUUAUCCUUUGAGCUACUCACUUUAGUGAUCACAGUUUGAUUGCCACAGUUCAUAAGGAUACCCGGUACAAGUUUCUCAACUACCGACAAGUCAUUCAAGAGCCGACGAAGCCAAUCUGCUUCGACCGUAGCUGUAUCUAGUGCUGUGAGUUCUGCUUCCAUUGUUGACCUCGUUAAGAUGGUCUGCUUGCAAGACUUCCAAGAAACAGCGCCACCUCCAUGAGUGAAUACAUAUCCGCUCGUGGCCUUUAUCUCAUCAGCAUCUGAGAUCCAGUUUGAGUCACUAUACCCUUCAAGCACCUUUGGGUGCCCGGUGUAGUGAAUUCCAUAAUUCGCAGUGCCUUUCAAAUAACGCAAAACUCUCUCUAGAGCUUUCCAAUGCACAUCUCCUGGUUUUGAGACAAACCGACUCAGUUUGCUAACAGCAAAAGAGAUGUCAGGUCUUGUAGCACUGGCUAAGUACAUAAGCGAGCCAAUAAUCUGAGAAUACUUCAAUUGAUUUCUAGCAAUUCUUUGAUUCUUUCGAAGCAGCACGCUAGCAUCAUAUGUUGUUGGAGAGGGCUUGCAUUCACUAUAGCCAAAGCGACUCAAGAUCUUUUCCACAUAGUGAGAUUGAAGCAAUGUAAUCCCACCAUCAUCAUCUCUCAACAACUUGAUGUUCAGAAUGACAUCAGCCACUCCUAAAUCCUUCAUCUCAAAACAUCGAGAUAGGAACUCCUUGACCUCCUUAAUAACAUUCAGAUUUGUUCCGAAAAUCAGUAUGUCAUCAACAUACAAGAAAAGCAUAACUCCCUCGCCCCCACCAUAGCGAUAGUACACAGAUUUGUCAGUUUCGUUCACAACAAAGCCUGCAACUGUUAAAGUUCUUUCGAACUUCUCAUGCCACUGUUUGGGUGCUUGCUUGAGUCCAUACAAAGACUUCAGCAACUUGCACACUUUCCCUUCCUGACCAUCUAUUACAAACCCAUCUGGUUGUUCCAUAUAAAUUUCCUCAUCGAACUCUCCAUUUAGGAAAGCAGUCUUAACAUCCAUUUGAUGAACGAGAAGACCAUGUGAGGUAGCUAGUGAAAGUAGAACUCGAAUAGUGGUCAAUCGAGUCACAGGUGAGUAAGUAUCAAAGAAGUCUUCACCUUCCUUUUGGGUAUAACCCUUAGCCACGAGCCAAGCCUUGUUAUUUUUGAUAGUACCAUCAGGCCUAAGCUUCUUCUUGAAUACACAUUUGCAUCCUAUAGGUUUGCACCCAUAAGGACGAUCAAUUAUCUCCCAAGUUUCAUUCGCCAAGAUGGAAUCCAUCUCGCUACGAACUGUUUCCUUCCAGUAGUCAGCAUCUUCAGAUGCAUAGGCCUCUGAAAUAGAACUAGAAGUGUCAUAUAUGAGAUACACAAGAAAAUCAUCACCAAAGAACUUUGCAGUCCUCUGUCUCUUGCUCCUAGUAGGAACUUCGUUGUUCUCCUCCACAGGACUUUCAAAGUGUUCCAUCGAAAUGGCAGGUUCAGUAAUUGUAACUGGUUCCUGAUUCGAUGAACUAGGCAUCUCCUGAUUAGAUGAGAUAGCCAUAUCCUUCAUGGGAAAGAUAUCUUCAAAGAAGGUCGCAUCAUUCGACUCCAUGAUCGUACCGACAUGCAUGUCAGGUACCUCAGAUUUUACAACCAAGAAUCUAUAGCCAAUGCUAUGAAAAGCAUAUCCCAGGAAAACACAAUCCACAGUCUUUGGUCCAAGCUUCCGCUUCUUUGGAAUUGGAACAUUGACUUUCGCCAAACAACCCCAUGUUCGCAGAUAAGAGAGUUUUAACCUUUUCUUCUCCCAUUCCUCGAAUGGAGUUAUCUCUUUGUUCUUUGUGGGGACUCGGUUUAGGACAUGACAUGCUGUCAAUAUCGCCUCCCCGACCAUGCCUUGGAGAGACCCGAUGUGUCUAACAUGGUGUUAACCAAAUCAGUUAGAGUACGAUUCUUUCUUUCGGCCACCCCAUUUGACUGAGGUGAGUAGGGAGGCGUCCUCUCAUGGAUUAUACCAUGUUCCACACAAAAAGCAUCAAAUUCAUUGGAAAAAUACUCUCCACCACGGUCGGACCUAAGCCUCUUGAUUUUCCGAUCAAGUUGGUUUUCCACUUCAGCUUUAUAGAUCUUGAAAAAGUUCAAAGCCUCAUCCUUAGAUUUCAGAAGAUACACACGACAGUAUCUAGUGGAGUCAUCAAUUAACGUCAUGAAAUAUUUCUUUCCACCUUUUGUCAAAACACCAUUCAUUUCACAUAGAUCUGAAUGUAUAAGUUCUAGUGGUGCAAGAUUUCUCAUCUUCGCAGUCACGUGAGACUUACGAGGUUGCUUAGCUUGCAUGCACACUUGCCACUUAGAUCCCUUGACAGUGGUGAAACUAGGGAUUAAGUUCAACUUCGCUAGUCGCGACAUGCAACCAAAUUUAACAUGACAAAGAUGUGAAUGCCACACAUUUGAUUCACUAUUGUUGCAAACAUGAUUAACAACUUUAUUGCAAACGUCUAACAAGGAUAAACGAAACAGGCCUCCUGACUCAUAGCCUUUACCUACAAAGGUUCCAUACUUGGAUAUUACAAAUUUAUUCGACUCAAAGACAAGCUUGUAGCCAUCUCUACACAGAAGAGAUCCGCUAACAAGAUUUUUAUUGACGGAGGGGACAUAAUGCACGUUCUUCAGCCGCACGAUCUUCCCCGAAGUAAACUUCAGAUCGACCAUGCCAACACCACGAACAGAAGCACUUGAACCGUUGCCCAUCAGCACGGUUGAAGUCCCUGCGGUCUGAUAAGACGAAAACAUGGAAAUAUCACCGCAUACAUGCACAUUAGCACCCGUGUCAAUCAACCAAUCAGGAGAAUGACAUACUGAAAGAAUAGUGGGAAAUAUACGAUACCCAACAUCCUUCAUGCCAGUGUCUUCAAUGACAACAUUAGCGGUCUUGCCGCCUUUCCCAGGAUGACGCUUGUCAUAGCGAUUGGGGCAACUAGGAGCCCAAUGAUCAGGAUCUCCACACACAUGACAAACACCUUUCUUCUUGUCAUUCUUCUUCUUGAAGUUCGUGUGCUGCACAGCCUUGUUCUUCCCAUCAAACUUUGCUUUACCAUCAAGCUUGCCCUUGUUCUUGAACUUGUGGGACUGGAAGUUUUUCUUCUGUACCAGAUUGGCACUAGAUCCUCCCUCAAUACCUCGAGCACGCGUGUCCUUUGCUCUCGCCUUUUUCUUCCACAUCAAGAGUACCAAUGAGAUCCGGAACGGAAAACUCCUGUCUCUUAUGCUUCAGUAAGGUAGCAAAGUUCCUCCAUGAAGGAGGAAGCUUAGUGAUGAUGCCCCCGGCAACAAACUUGUCCGGUAGCAUGCAAUUGAAGUGCUCAAGUUCUCUAGCAAAUGACUGUAUCUCAUGAGCCUGCUCAACCACGGAGCGCUCUUCAGUCAUCCUGUAAUUAUAGAAUUGCUCCAUGAUGUACAACUCAGUGUCGGCAUCCGAGACCCCAAACUUGGCCUCGAGUGCGUCCCACAUAUCUUUUCCAUUGUCAAUUGACGCAUAAGCAUCAACUAUGUUCUCACCAAGAACACUCAAGAGAGCAGCCUUAAACAAGGUAUUCAUUUUCUGAAAAGCUUGUGCCUAUUGGGCAUCUUGCUCUCCUUCAGGUUUGCCAAGAGUGGCGUCAUAACAACUCAUGGUCUGAAACCAUAAGAUUGCUCUCACGCGCCACCUCUUAUAGUGGAUACCCUCAAACAUAGGAGGUCUCAUGGAAGCAGCAAAACCACUUGGAGUAAAUUGCCUAUAAUAAGGUUUUUGGAUUGUUGGAAAUAUGAGCAAUUUAUCGAGUGAUUUUAUUAACAGAAAUACUAGAUAAAGCAUGACUAGUAUAGCAGUGAUAAAACAAGCCAUGCGAUUUGACAAAGAGAAGGUAAACAACAUCUUCGUAUAUGUACCAUAACUAAACAUAUCUUAAGCAGACAGUAUAGCAAGAUGCAGAUUGUAGCAGCAGCGCAGUGCACAGGAGAGGGACGCGAACAGGUGCGCCGUUCGUAUUCAUUAUCCACUCGGCUCAUUCCGGCAAACCCGCGGCGCGGCGAGGCGAGGCGAGACGAGGCGGGCGGCGGCGGAGGAGGAGCGCGCGUGGAUGUCUUUCUUGUUCUGAUGCUCAUACAAGUGGGGAAGGAGCCUCCCUUAUAAAGAGGUCCAACCCCCUCUAAACUAGCAAUGUGGGACUAAACUUUAGUUCCACCUCUUGCCUUGCACGAAUGGGCUGCAUGGGCCUCUAGGAUUUAUUAGGAAUUUCUGAAAUAGUUAUUGGGCUGCCCAAAUAGACUAAAUUCCAGCAAAUACAACAAUUGCUCGAUUGAUAUGAAUUUCUUAGAAAUCUCUUCGAGGCUUGAACUAAAUUAAACGAGUACAUUCCUUGUGGCAUGCAUGCGCUUAGGUGUGGAAUUUCUGAAAAAUGGAAUGGGACAAUGAUAACGAGUGCUCAAAACACAUCGAUGUGGUUGACAAAGCCGUCUUCAGCACCCCACCUCCUCCGGCCCUCCCCUUGUUUACCUGGAAAUCCCACAACCAAGAAAAGCACAAAUAGUAAUGUGUAUCUAGCUAGCUAUACUACAUGCCAUCCUAAUAUAUCUACUAAAGCUAGUACAAAGUUGAGUCACUUAUUUUAGGAUGGAGGGAGUAUUUGGCUACACUACAUGCCAUACUAAUGUAUCUAUGUAUGUUAUCCUUCUAUAUGCCUUGCUCACCGUCGCUUCAUGCCCACAAAAGUAAAGAAAAUUCAGUUAACACAAACUCUAGAAAAAUUUCGGCUAGAUACCCGGGAACCACAUUAACGCUACUUGAUGCCCAUCACAUAUGUGAAACAAAGGAGAUGGCUAACAGGCUUCGAUGGCUGAUGGUGGUGGUCACUUGGAGGUGGACAUGCAACAUGCAGGAGGGUGGCUAACAGGCUUCGAUGGCUGAUGGUGGUGGUCAAUUAGUUAUCUCUUAGUUUUAGCUCUUUUAACUCUUAGUUUUAGCUCUUUUAGUAUUCAACAUGUAAUAAGAUUAGCCAAUUGUCCUGCACAUCUUUGUGCUAAGCGUGCCUGUAUGCUUAAUGUGAUUGACAAUUGGUUAGACACCACCCCUAGCUUCCUGAUCAGCAGCCUUCUGGUUGCUGCUUGGCGAAUGCAUUCGUUGAAUAAAGCUCUUUGAAAUUCCCUGGAAAAAAAAACUCUUUAGAUGAAACAACAUUAGUGGGUGUGUUGCAAAUUAGAUGAUUAUAUCCCUUUUUUUUAGGGAAAAGGCAGUUGUACUGCCAUGGCAUUUCAGGAGAGAAGCAAAUAAGUUUCAGUUAUAGAGGUAGGGAUUUGGGCUCCCUAGGGUAGAUCCCAAUUUGAGUAUUCUUGAUGACAAUAAGAGAAGAAAAGCUCUAACAAAUUUGCCUCACCAACGGUAAAAUGAGGGUUGACGCAGGGGUGAAUGGAAUAUUACUGAACUGUAUGUCACACCAUGUUCUAUGAAAUGCUCUCCAACUUUCAACGUAAUAGUGAAACUUUUGGUAAAAUAAGAUUAUAUAAAUUUUAUGUUUCACAAGGCCCAUCACCAUCAUUGACAGUUUGACAUACAUAUUGCAUUGCACAAAGCAUAACACAAAUUUUAUUGCAUUCCAUAUCAACUACAUCAAAAUGAUAUAACUACAUUUUAUGAAAAUACAACAAUUGCUCAAUUGAUGUUUUUUUAGAAAUCUCUUCGAGGCUUGAACUGAAUUAAACGAGUACAACCCUUGUGGCAUGCAUGUGCUUAGGCGUGGAAUUUCUGAAAAAUGUAACGGGACAGUGAUAGAGUGUUCAAAACACAUCGAUGUGGUUGACAAAGGCGUCGACGCGGGUGGUGUGGGAGGUGGACAAACGGGGUGCAGGAGGUGGCUGAUGAGUGGACUUUACACCCAUAUUCUUGAGUUUAAUCAUGUGCCACUUAAGAUGAAACAACAGUAGUGGGAGUGUUGCACAUUAGAUGAGUAGACUCAAUUCACAAAAUAUUCUUAGUGACAGUAAGAGAAGAAACGGUAUAAAUAUAACGAAUUUGCCUCACUUGACACAAGAGUAGGCUCUUUUUUACUAAAUGACCCUUAGAGGAUCUUAUUUUGUUGGCCGGCCUCCCAAAUAUCUUAUUUCGUGGGCUGACCCCCCUGCAAACACGGCAAAUCAUCUGGCGUUUGUCACCAUAUGCCGCCAGUCAAUCUGAUGACAAUAAAUUCAAUGCGGCAGUCACGCUUACAUGGCUAGAAAAGUAAAAAAAAAGCCUAAUCUACUAGCAUAUCAAACCGUUUCCAGACCAUCCGCCUUUUAGAGCAUCUCCAACAGGCGCGCGGUUGCGUGCCGUGCUAAUUUUUUUUGCAGCAUUGAAAUAGCGUUUUAGCACGCGCAGGAGGGUGUUUGCUUUACCAUGCGCUGCAAAAUUUAGCACGCCGCUAUAGCGCUUUGGCAGGCGCUGCAAAAUCCAGCGCGCGCGACCAGCUAGUGCUUGGAUUUUUUUGAAACAACACAUACGAGAAAAAAAUGAAACAAUACAUAGUUCAAAUUCAUAGCAUAGUUCAAGCCCCACACCACAAGCUAGUUCACAAAUGCAAAGAAAACUAGAUAAACCAUGCUAAACUAGAUAAAACGAUGCAAAUAAAACUAGAUAAAACUACUCCUCGUCCACCUCGGUCGUGUAGUCCGAAGACGUAAACUCGUCGAGCCACCGAGGAUCUUCAUCGUCCCAGGACGACGCAGGUCCCAGCUCGAUCUGGGCUUCCGCCAGUUCCUUUCGUGCACACUUGUCUGCCCGACGCACGGCUCGCUCCGCCAUCCUCUGCGCCCAGAACUCGUUCUCGGUAGUGACAUCCUGCGGGAAGCGCUCGCGCCACACCGCCAUGGCGUGCUCAUCUGCCUCGGCGAUGAGGAGGCGGCGCUCCCGCCUUUGCUGGACGCGGCGAUCCUCGUCGGUGAUUAGUCGCGGGGGAGGCGCGAGUUCCUGUGCCUGCUCGCGCGUCCACACGUCGGAGAAGUUCAUCUGUGGCCGUGGCCCCACGCCACCGUGUCGUACACGCGCGCAGCCUCGUGGGCGGUCUCGAAUGUUCCGAGCCCAAGGCGUGUAUCGUCGAAGCAGAUCUUCGCGUAAUACAUGAUGGAGUGGCGGAGGCGGACACCGCGGAAGGCCGAGCUGCUCCGGGGGUGCGGCGGCAUGGCGGGGCACUGGAAGAGGCGGGGGGAGAAGGCGGCGGUGGGGCGCUGGAAGAGGUGGGGAAGAAGGUGUGGCGGUGGCGGGGCACCCGAAGAGGCGAAGAAGAAGGCGCAACGGGAGGGUAAGAGUGGCGGUUAGCGGGCGCCCGCGCGCGGCUUUUAACCAAUGCGCUGGGCAACCACGCCAAAAAUGCCGCAUGCGCUGCCGCUUUUUCCCCGCACAUGCCCACUUUUUUCGCGCACCAAACUUUUGCGCGCUUGCUGGAGCGCGCAAUGCGGCCUCUCGCGCACCAAAUUGGUUGUUUAUCGAGCGCACCGGAUAUUUUGCGCGCAUGUUGGAGAUGCUCUUAUGAUGAAGUGUCUGGUGUGGCCGUCUUCCUCACCAACCCCUGUUGCACCAUGCCACCAUGGCCGCCCCAACCUGCCUCCAUCCAGCCGACGGCCAGGCGUUCUCCUCUGCCCAAGCGCGGAUCCGACUCGCCGGAGCUCCUAUGCCCAGGUCCUCAUCCACCGCGAGGAUCCUCCCACAGCCGUCGUAUCCCUCCCCCGCGGGGCCGCCUCCACCGAGGCGUCGGCCUGUCGGCCUUCUCCAUCGCUGAAGCACCUCCAUCGCCAGAGCUCCUCUACCAAGGCGCUGGACCAUCGGCCUCAUCUGCAUUGCCCGCAUUCGCCUCGCAGUCAUUGAUGUGACCAUAGGAUGACUAGUGGUGCCCACUGGAGCGAGCGGCAACGCUCACUGGCCGCCAUGUCCGGCGGCUGCCGGCCGAACCAUGUGAGCAGGGUGCGACGACGCACGAGGCAGGGGCCAUCUUCAGUGGCGUAGCUCCGAUCUCCGAGCGUGGCACAUCUGAUUGUUGUUGCACCUCGAAUGGGAGCUGGCGCUGAGUCUACGUCAUGGCAGGCACAGCGGGAAGCUCGCCGGAAGGGUGGCGCUUGUUGGCGACCGUGCUCGGCAGCGGUUGGCGCAGCCUAUCUGCUACAACUAUGGUUGGAGGAGAUCUGUAGGGAGGAUGGCAGCUGGGGUAGGGCCUUGUGAUCGCCGGCGGCGACUGGCCUGUCGGUGGAAUCAAUACUUUCACUAUAUCUAGAAAACACUAGACAAGAACAAGAAAUAAACAAGAUCCACAAGUGGUAGGAAAGACACCGGGAGUUGACACAAACCUUGGCAAGAGAAAAGGCAAAUAAAAACAAAAGCCAAAGUAAAGAUGAUCAACAAAUUCUACCACACAUAAGUGACUACCAAUUGUCAAAAGGCAAGAAGUAUUUGGAAAUAAUUUCCGGUGGUAGAUAACAAGGACAUCCAACAUCAUCUUCACAACAAACACAAGAAAAUUGCAACUUAUAGAGCUAACAUGCCACCUAGGAACAAGAUAAUCUACAAUAUCAAUUCUAGGUGACAAUAUCUCAAAUGUACACAUUUUCUAGGCUUGUAAUAUGCACUUAGCAUAUUACUCCCCCAUAAUGUGAUACCAAUAAGAACUUAACAAGAGGCAAUAAGAGGAACAAACAAGAGAUAAUUAAUGGACUAUUUAGAAUUUGAAUUUCUCAUGAGAGAUAUACCACCUAGCGACUAGAUAGUCUUGUAAUAUCAAUACUAGAUGGUAUUCCUCAUGUACACACAUUUAUAGGAUUGUAAGGUGCACAAAGCACAUCACUCCCCCAAAAUGGGAUGUUCCAUUAGUCUCUCACACGAGCCAACUAGGAUACAAACAAGAAGCAUAAAGGCUCAACGCACGACACACACGUACAUGGUGUGCAAACCGACACACACAUACUUGAUUUCUCAAGAUAAGCAAGUUGGAAUCACAACAUAUACAAACACAUGCAAGGAACAAAACCAAAACAUGCAAGGGGGCAAGUAACUUUCAAUGUAAGCAAUUUUAAGUACAAGUUACCGCAAGGAGGCACAUUGGAUAUAAGAUAUAAACUUGAUGAUUCAAUUGACUUGGCUUGAGACAAUAAGAGUGAUGAAGUCCCCUUAAUUCUUCAUAAUGUAGCCAAGUAUCCAAUGCCCUCCAACAAGACCUAUUGAUCAAGUUUGAGCUUGUUGGUCCCCAACCAAGUUGGGUCCUAAGAGGUUAGUCACAAUAGGUUUGGCUACCCAAAUGGUUCUUUGCUUGACACCACUUUGAGUACCAACAAACUUGGCAAACACAUUGCCAACCUUAUCCUUACCAAGAGAAUAGAUAUCAUCAAUAAUAAUUGGGUUGGAUAAGUUACCGCUAGUGCAUGAAGAAGCGACGUGACCUUUCUCACGACGUAAGUAGCAACGUCUACUCUUCACUUUCUUCUCACUUGAUUUCUCAAUUUGAGAAGCAUUAACUUGAGUCUUCUUGGGAAGAGGCCUUUCUUCAACUUGAUGUUGAGCAUGAGAUUGAACUUGUGCCCUCUUCCCUUGUUGCUUGACACUAAUGGCCUUCUUCUUCAAUGGGCAAGAUCUAACAUGAUGCCCUUCGACUUUGCACUUGAAGCAAACAAUCUUGGCCGAAUUCUUGACUUGUUCUUGGCCCUUCCUUUUGUUCAUCUUGGACUUCUUCUUCUUAUUGGAGUUGAAUCCAAGUCCACCUUUGUCAUUGGGGGAUUUUUGCACACUCAAGAUAUUGUUGAGUGUGGCCUUCCCUUCAUGACACUUUUCCAAAUCUUUCUUCAAAGAAGUGACUUGGGCCUUGAGCUCUUUGAUUUCCUCUACAUGGUUAGUCUCAACACAAGUACUAGAGGAAGUAUAAGCUUCAUCGUUAGAGCAACAAGGCAAGGAAAGGAAUUCAUCACAAGAUGUACCAACAUUAUGAGUAGAUGAAUUACAAGGACUAGCACAUGGCAAUAUACUAUUUUGACUAGAAGUAGUGCUAGUAUCCACAUGAGGCUCACUAGAUGUUACCUUAGCAAUCAUGGCCUCAUGAGCUAUCUUUAGCACACUAUGGGAUACUAGAAGAUCAUCAUGAGAGCUUGAGAGCUUUUCAUGACUUUCUUCCAAUUUCCCAUAAUUGCUAGAUAGCACCUCAAGUUGAGCCCGUAGCUCAACAUUCUCCUUCAAAAUGGAUGCUUCACAAGUAAUAGAAUUAGUAGCACAAGCAUCAUCAUUAACAACAAGAGGAGAAGGCAACUUGGCAAGCUCUUUUAAAUAAGAAGCUUCAAGUUGGGCAUGAGACUCGGUGAGUUUGAUGAGAUGACCCUUGAGCCAUUUUCGAGGUGCUCAAAAUCCUCAAGAAGUCUAGCAUGAGAAACUUCAAGCUUAGCAUUUUUAGUUUUGAAAUCGUUGGCCACCUCAAGAGCUCUAUCAUGAGAUUCCCUCACUCUAGAUAAUUCUAGAGCAAAAGUCCCCUCAAGAGAUUCGGAGGUGGUUUGUUCAUGUUCAAGAGCUUGAGAUAGCUCCGCGAUCUCAUUUGCGUAAUCACGCUCAUGAGCUUCCAUUUACUCAAUGGUGACCUCAUGCUCCUCGAGAUGAGAUUCCAACUCCUCAACAUAUUUCUUGCCCUCAAUGGCAAUGGACAUAACUUCCAUGAAGUUGGAACGAGCAAUUUUAUUUUUAUGAAGAGCUUUAAAAAUCAUCUCCCCCUUAGUUUUUAAGGAGGCAACAUUAUCAUUCUCUUCAUCAUUAUCCUCAUCAUCAUUAGCAUCAACAUCAUCAUCAAGAGACAUAUUGGGGUACAAAGUAGGAGAUACCUUUGAUGCCUUAGCCAUAAGGCAAAAAGCAAUAGAUGAUGAUGUAUGAUCCCUUGAGGCACCAUUAAACACCACAUCUUGUUCCAUGGAGUGUUCGGUUUCCUCUACAUUGUUAGCACAAUAAUUCAAGGAAAUAGAUGCAUUUUUAUCAUGGCAACAAGACAUAGCAAGCAUAUCAUCAUGCGAUUUAGUCAAGCAAUUUCUACAUGAUAUGCAAGGACUAUCAACACAAGCAUGUGAAACAUUUGGAGUGCUCGAAGUGUUAAAGCCCAAAGAGGGAGCAUUGCAAUAAGAUAGUGAUGAAGGAUCAUCCACAGUAAGCAUAUUAUCAUCAUUGCAAUGACCAACACUACUCACCAUAUCAUUACCUUGUGGAAAACCACAUGUAGGUGAAGUAGAAUAAGUUGAGAAGACUAUACGACCGGAGGUGGAGGGGGAACAAUCAUCCCCACAAAUAUUGGACACAGCAUAUUUAUCUUGAAGCUUUGUCCAUAACUCAUGAGCAUCCCGGAACGGCAUGAGUUGAAAAAUAACUACAUUACUCAAAGCAUCAAAAAGCACAUUAGAAGCUUGAGCAUUGAGAUAAGAGUUUUUCUCAUCCUCUAAAGAUAAUCUUUGGGGAUCCUUUGAAGGAGAAAAACCCAUAUCUACAAUUCGCUCUAAAUUUGGGUCCAUGACCCUAAAGAGAUUAAGCAUGCGAAUUACCCAAACAUCAAAAUUUGUGCCAUCGAAACUAAGAGUGUCAGAGAAUCCUAAUCCCCUAGUCGACAUCUUUACUCUCUAGGCGGUUAAGCCUAACAAAGAGAUACGAGGCUCUGAUACCAAUUGAAAGAUCGUGGAUGUCGCCUAGAGGGGGGUGAAUAGGCGUUUUAAAAUAAUUACGGUAGAGGCUUGAACAAAUGCGGAAUAAACCUAGCGGUUAAUUUGUCAAGCACAAAACCUACAACAACUAGGCUCACCUAUGUGCACCAACAACUUAUGCUAAGCAAGAUAAGCAACUAUGUGAUAGCAAGAUAUAUGACAAAGAACAAUAUGACUAUCACAAAGUAAAGUGCAUCAGUAAAGGGCUCGGGUAAGAGAUAACCGAGGCAUGCGGAGACGACGAUGUAUCCCGAAGUUCACACCCUUGCGGAUGCUAAUCUCCAUUUGGAGCGGUGUGGAGGCACAAUGCUUCCCAAGAAGCCACUAGGGCCACCAUAAUCUCCUCACGCCCUCGCACAAUGCAAGAUGUCGUGAUUCCACUAAGGGACUCUUGAGGGCGGUCAUCGAACCCGUACAAAAGGCAACCCUUGGGGGCGAUCACCGAACCCGUACACUUUGGCAACCCUUGGGGGCGGUCAAUGGUACCCGUCAAAUUGCUCGGGGCGAUCUCCACAACCUAAUUGGAGAACCCGACGCUUGCCCGGAGCUUUACACCACAAUGAUCGAGCUCCGAACAACACCAACCGUCUAGGGCGCCCAAGCACCCAAGAGGAACAAGCUCAAGGGCACCAAGCACCCAAGAGUAAUAAGCUUCUCAACUUGUAACUUCCACGUAUCACGUGGAGAACUCAAACCGAUGCACCAAAUGCAAUGGCAAGGACACACGGAGUGCCCAAGUCCUUCUCUCAAAUCCCACCGAAGCAACUAAUGCUAGGGAGGAAAAUGAGAGGAAGAACAAGAAGGAGAACACCAAGAACUGCAAGAUCAAGAUACAAGGGGUUCCCCUCACAUAGAGGAGAAAGUGAUUGGUGGAAAUGUGGAUCUAGAUAUCCUCUCUCUUUUCCCUCAAAAACUAGCAAGAAUCCAUGGAGGGAUUGAGAGUUAGCAAGCUCGAAGAAGGUCAACAAUGGGGAAAGAAUACGAGCUCAAAGGAUGAGGUUCAUUGGGAAGAAGACCCCCUUUUAUAGGACCUCCCGAAUCCAACCGUUAUGUGCUCAGGUCGUGCACAAGCGGUACUACCGCUUGGAGGAGCGGUACUACCGCUUAGCACGGUCAAAACAACCCAACGAGAGAGAAAAACACGAGUUUUUGGUCCGGAGCGGUACUACCUCUUAGGAGCCAUGGUAGCACUGCUCUGGAGCGGUACUACCGCUCAGGAGCCGCGGUAGUGCCGCUCUGGAGCGGUAGUAAAAAAUUACAUCCGCUCUAGUCGCGGUAGUACCGCUGCAGCCUUUACCAAAACAGCCACAACUUUUGCAAACGGACUCCGAAUUCAACGAAACCAAGUUUGUUGGAAAGCUAACAACAUGGGCUAACACAAUAUUGAUAGAAAUAUCAAGAAUAAGCAAAUGAGAAAAGUCCCAUAAGAAAAUGGUGAGAACCCUUCAUCGGAUAAGACCGGUAAAACGUCCAACACCGAAAACAUCAUAGAAGAUGCAUGCGAACUCCGUUUUCGAUGAACUCAAGCUUGUCAUCAAGAUGACCAUAAGCUCUAAGACUCACAAAGAUAACCAAACAAGAACCAAGAAACAUGAUGCAAGGAUGCAAUGGUUUGAGCUCUCUACUAAUGAUACGAUCAAGCUACCAACUUGAGAGCCCCCCUUGAUAGUACGGCAAACGAUCCUAUAACUCGGUCUCCCAACUACCACCACAAGACCGGUAAAAUAGAAAACCUAUUAAGGGAAAACCUUUGCCUUGCACAUGGUCCACUUGAGCUAGAUGAAGACGAUCUUGACUCCCUCAAGUUUAACCACCUUUCUUGAUUGCGUUGGCUCGAUGAAGACUAGAUGAUUGCUCCCCCAUAGUUCACUAUGGGUGAGCCACUCUUCGGCACAUCUUCACAAGUCCAUUGACACCACAAUGGAUGGCAAGAUUCAAGCACUUGAUAUCUUCGUGAUGCUCCACUUGAACUUGCACACGGCAAUCUUGAUGACGAUCACCACUUGAUGUCAUCCUUUCCAUGGGUUGUAUGAUAUCUUCCUCUUGAUGCAAGCCCAUGGAUACGUACCUAACCCCACAUACAACUCUCACAUAGACCAUGGGUUAGUACAUAAAGUGCAAUGGACAAUGCUUACCAUACCAUGGGAUCACUUGAUCCCUCUCGGUACAUCUUCUACGCUUUGUGAGUUGAUCAACUUGAUUCACUCUUGACUUAGUCUUGAUCAACCUUGAAUCUUUGCAACUCUCUUCAUUUGGAUGAUGUCUUGAAGGUAAACAUGAAUGAUCACACAACCUUCUUCUUCAAGACAUGCUUGCAAUAAGCUCAACACUCAUAUGACCAAUCUUUGGAUAAUUCCUUAAUAGCACCUUGGUCAUCACAAACUCUCAUUGAAACCAACAAAUGGACUCCAAGAAAAGCCUAUGGGCAAACUCUUCAAAUAUAACUCAAGGCAACCAUUAGUCCAUAGAGAUUGUCAUCAAUUACCAAAACCACACAUGGGGGCACCGCAUGUCCUUUCAACCUGCCCUGCCUUUCCCCUCCUCACGAAGUAACCAUCUCCUUCUCCUGCCCCACGCCUUCUUCUUUCUCUCCCAAAAGAUUGCAUCGUCCAAGCUAGGGUUGCCGCCGCCCCAUCCCAGCUCCUCUCACUACUGGAAUCAACUACUUUGCCGCCUAACGGACUAACAGAGAAAUUUUUGCCGUCUGCUUUCUUUGUCGUCCGCUGCGGAUGGCAAAGGACCCUUUGCCGUCAGCCGCAUAAAGCGGACAGCAAAGUAGCUGUUUGCCAGAUCUUACUUUGCCGCCCAUGUUUGCCGUCCGCGGCGGACGGCAAAGACCUUUGUCGUCCGCCAUUCAUGCCUUUGCCGUCCGCCGUGGCAGAUGGCAAAGUAGCUGAUUCAUGUAGUGUCUGACGCCCUCCUCAGAUCCAUCUAUCCCCAGACCUUCUUGUCGUCGCGUUCCACCCGACUUCCAUGUGGUUGCAGAGGAGGGGGGAGGGGAUGCCAUCGAGAGGUGCCGACGGAGACCCUGGCUUGGAGCGGCUAGUUGUAGAGGUGCGGUGAUUUCUCUAAUUUGUUGAUCGUUUUAUGCUAUGAUCUUCCCCAUGUCCCUGAACUUGUUAAUUUUGUAGGGUCCUUGCGGAUCGUGCUAGUUGUUCCGGGGCGUUGGAGUGAGCCAGCUGCCUGACGACGGGCAAGAUGGAGCUACUCUCCGAGAAACGGCUGCUCGGCUGCGACCAUGAGGUGAGGCUCCUUUUCUUUCUUUUCUAUUAUAUCUUGCCUUUACUGUGUUAAAGGCCAUAGCCUCAAGUCCUACCAGUAUAUGAUGAGAGCAGCUUGGUUCACACGAUGUUUCCAAUUUUCAAGAGAACUAGCCAACUUUGUGUAAAUUUUGAUUUGCACUUCCACCUAGAAGGAGUGAGGUGUUUAUUUUCUCAUCAAACAUGAUGAGUGAUUUGGAAUUGGUCUUGGUAAUAUUAUAAGUAAGAUUUUGUUUGAUUGUAUUUUGAUGAACAUGGAGCCUCCUUUUUUUGAAAUUGUUCUCUAUAAUGAAAUAACUGAAUUUACACGGCUACUGAAAAUCGUGUUCCAGUUUCUAUUCAUGUGUAGCUCAUCUAAUCUCUUUUGUUGUUUUUUUUCCUAAAAAAAUAUAUCUCUUUUAUUAUUUAAUCCAGCUUGCUAUUGUUGGGGAACGCAGUAAUUUCAAAAAAUUUCCUACGAUCAUGCAAGGUCUAUCUAGGAGAUGCAUAGCAACGAGAGGGGAGAGUGUUGUCUACGUACCCUCGUAGACCGAAAGCGGAAGCGUUACGACAACGCGGUUGAUGUAGUCGUACGUCUUCAUGAUCCGACCAAUCCUAGCACCAAAGGUACGGCACGUCCACGAUCUGCACAUGUUCAGCUCGGUGACGUCCCACGAACUCUAGAUCCAGCUGAGGUCGAGGGAGAGUUUCGCCAUCACGACAGCGUGGUGACCGUGAUGAUGAAGUUACCGGCGCAGCGCUUCGCCUAAGCACUAUGACGAUAUGACCGAGGUGGAAAUCUGUGGAGGGGGGCACCGCACACGGCUAAACAAUCACUUGUGUGUCCUAGGGUGCCCCCUGCCCCCGUAUAUAAAGGAGCAAGGGGGAGGUCGGCCGGCCCUCCUAGGGCGCGCCUCCAAUAGGGGAAUCCUACUAGGACUCCAAGUCCUAGUAGGUUUCCACCUAAAGGGAGAGAGUGGGAAGGAAGGAGAGGGAGAGGGGGAAGGAAAGGGGGGUGCCGCCCCCCUUCCUUGUCCUAUUCAGACUCAAGGGGGAGGGGGCACACGGCCUGCCCUGGCCGCCCCUCUCUCUCUCCACUAAGGCCCAUCGAGGCUUCUGAUAACCCUCCGACACUCUGGUUUUCUCCGAAACUUCUACAGAACACUUCCGAUGUCCAAACAUAGCCGUCCAAUAUAUCAAUAUUUAUGUCUCGACCAUUUCGAGACUCAUCGUCAUGUCCGUGAUCACAUCCGGGACUCCGAAUAACCUUCAGUACAUCAUAUCACAUAAACUCAUAAUACCAAUCAUCAUCAAACGUUAAGCGUGCGGACCCUACGGGUUUGAGAACUAUGUAGACAUGACCGAGACACGUCUCCGGUCAAUAACCGAUAGCGGAACCUGGAUGCUCAUAUUGGUUCCUACAUAUUCUACGAAGAUCUUUAUCGGUCAAACUGCAUAACAACAUACGUUGUUCCCUUUGUCAUCGGUAUGUUACUUGCUCGAGAUUCGAUCGUCGGUAUCAUCAUACCUAGUUCAUUCUCAUUGCCGGCAAGUCUCUUUACUCGUUCUGUAAUAUUGCAUCCCGCAACUAACUCAUUAGUCACAAUGCUUGCAAGGCUUAUAGUGAUGAGUAUUACCGAGAGGGCCUAGAGAUACCUCUCCUAAACACGGAGUGACAAAUUCUAAUCUCGAUCUAUGCCAACCCAACAAACACCUUUCGGAGACACCUAUAGAGCACAUUUAUAAUCAUCCAUUUACGUUGUGACGUUUGGUAGCACACAAAGUGUUCCUACGGUAUCCGGGAGUUGCAUAAUCUCAUAAUCUGAGGAACUUGUAUAAGUCAUGAAGAAAGCAGUAGCAAUGAAACUGACACAAUCAUAAUGAUAAGCUAACGGAUGGGUCAUGUCCAUCACAUCAUUCUCCUAAUGAUGUGAUCCCGUUCAUCAAAUGACAACACAUGUCUAUGGUUAGGAAACAUAACCAUCUUUGAUUAACGAGCUAGUCAAGUAGAGGCAUACUAGGAACUAUAUGUUUUGUCUAUGUAUUCACACAUGUACUAAGUUUCCGGUUAAUCCAAUUCUAGCAUGAAUAAUAAACAUUUAUCAUGAAUUAAGGAAAUAAAUAAUAACUUUAUUAUUGCCUCUAGGCCAUAUUUCCUUCAUCUACAAUGGAUGAAUCUAUGUUUCUUUUGAUUGCUCUAAGCACAUGAAUCGCCAUAUACAAUUGUUUACAUACUGUAUAGUCGUUGGCUAAUUCUUUCUUUUAAUAAUUAGGGAGAAAUAAUAUGCAUAUCUGUGUAACUUAUGCAGAUAUGCCAGUUUGCCAUAUACAAAAGAGAAAACAUUUUCCAGACAUUCACUACUUGGACCGACGGGUUUCAGGUCCAAUGGAUAGGGCAUGUCACUGGUGUCAAGGUAUAAUUAUUAUGUUCUCAAUUUGCUUUAUCCACCAAAGGAAGGCUUUGGCCACCAAAGGAAGGCCGGCUUCUUCCCUGGGUCUUCUCCUCUUGGUGGCACCAUUGUAACAAGGUGCGGCGCUGCUCCUCGCUACAACCCUGGCAGCAAGGCAGCAACAACCCCACCAUCUUUCAUCGGUGAAGUGAUCAACCAGUUUCUGCAAAACCAUCUGUCAAGAGGUAGGCCUAAAGGCAUACCACACAUAACUAAGAUUUCACAUCCAUGUAGGAUCGCAUUAUCUUCAGCACUACACACUCCAGCAUGUGCGGAUCUAGUGUCUGGGGCAUGGGGGCCAUUGCCCCCACAAACAAUUUUCAAAUUUUCUUUUACUAGUGUAAUGCUUAUCAUCAUAUAUUAAUUUUGGUGUAGUGUAAUAAAAAAAUCUAGCAAUUGGAAUGUUGUCCAAGGUUGCCCCCACAUUGUCAAAUCCUAGAUCCGCCACUGCACCUCCAAUCUGUUCAGGAAGCCAAUGAAUUGAGGUUCAAGGAAAAAGAUGAUAGAAGUGAGAAAAAGCUAAGAAAAGCACACAUUGUUGAACUAUUGAAACUACCACAAUGCUCUAUAUCAUCAACAUCCAACUCACUACAAAUCUGGUAGGAGACACCGCGUGACACACUGGUUGCAAUGAGAAGUAAUAUUCUUACGAUCUGCAAAAACAAUAAAAGUAAUUCAAAUAUAUUUUAUUAAGCCAAAAACACGUGGUGGGGUUAGAAAUAUGUAUUACCCCAUCUCUAAUGACAGACAACGGAGUUGAGGAUCUCGUAGAUGAGGUUUAAGAGCUAACGUAUAUAAAUCCAUCACUAGUAGAAAAAGGGCCUAUUGUCCUGAUUCAUAAGGGCCAUUUGUCCCGGUUAUUGAAACAGGACUAAAGUGUCGGUACUAAUGCCCUAGACCUUUAGUCCCGGUUCUUACACAAACCGGGACAGAUGGGCCUACACGUGGCCGGUGUGGCGAGCCCAGGCAGGAGGCCCUUUGGUCCCGGUUGGUGGCACCAACCGGGACCAAUAGGCAUCCAUGCGUCAGCAUUUCAGGGGUUGGGGUUUUUGUUUUUUUGAAGGGGGGGUUAGGGAGUUUUGGGGGGUUAAUUUAGGUGUUUCAUAUAUUGUGUUAGCUGGCUAAUUAAUAGAGAGAGAAGUGUCCUCUCUUAUCUCCGUGCUUGAUCGACACUAUGUACUAUACAUAUAGAGAGGACUAGAAACGGUAGCUAGUAAGCAAAUGAAGAAAACAGAAGAUCGUCAUGAACAUAUGCAUACAGAGAGAAGUGAUAUCGACCACCUCUCCUUCUCUGAGAGAUUGGUCGAACAACAAGUUCUCGUAUAUUUAUCCGAUGCUACUGGCUACAUAUAUACAAUAUAAUUAUCUCUUACAAUAUAAUCACCUAAUUCCAAAUGAACUCAGGGUCCACAUGGUAUUCUCCGACUUUAGCGAUCACGUGGUCAAGAAAGAAUGCCGCCAAUUCCUCUUGAAUUGCUCGCAUACGAUCUGGUGGUAGGAGUUCAUCCCGCAUCCGAAAUAUCUAAUUUGAAGAAGGGUGUCAAUACAUAUAUAUGAAUAAAUGAAACUCAACACAAAUGAUGGUACUAAAAUAAAAUUGUGAAUAUUAUUAUUUACGCACUUCAUAUUGUUUGUCAGAGUAGCCCUGCUCACAGGUCGUGUGGCGGAUGGACUCGCAAAUAUAGUAUCCACAGUAAUUAUUCCCUUGUUCCUGCCACAACCACUUUACAAGAAAUAGAGGUCAAUCAAACUAAUAAUUAGCAAGCAUGCUAAAUGGUAUUGAUGAAACUAGCGCUUGAAUCACUAGGAGAUACACGGAACAUGCUACUAUAGUACUUACUUUCGGGUGUCUAAAUUGCAGCUUCUUUGGCAGUCCUGGAGUUUUUGAGGUGAAUUUUUUCCAAACCCUGCCAGACAAAGAAAACAAUUACUUGAUAUCAGGAAAUGAACAAAGUUGCCGAUAUGGUGCGAUAAUGAUCGACUUAACUUACUUCUCUAGAAUUUCAGUCAUGUCCGCAUACUCCUUGGGAUAUUUUCGUCUUGAGUCUAAGACGGUUACUAGUCCCUGCUCAAGCUUAAUCUCUAGGAGAAUAUAGUGGAACCUGCGCACACAUGCAUAACUCAUCAAUUACAUUACUAUAACCUCGACUAAUAAGGGAAACCAAAUAUGCACAACAUAGUAACACUCACUUGAAUUCGUAAGGGAAGAGUAUUAUAGCUUUGUUUUGAUUUAAUACAAACGAUUGUAGCAGCUUGGCCUCGGUAUCUUUGGCCUGAGAUUCAACCAUAUAUUCAUCUAUGAGAUUUGUUUUAAUGAACCCAAUACCACCGAUUUGUCUUUUCUUCAAUUCGGUGAUCUUCAAUCUGCAUAAUAUAGUGAGGAUAAUUAAAAAUACAUGCAAUGAAAGAGCUGACCUAUAUAUAGAGACUUAAUGACAGAAGUAGUACUACUUACAGGCAGUAGCAACUGAUCAUUAAUUUAUCGAGGGCCUUUUGAUUGAAAAACGCGAAGAAUUCCUCAAAUGGAACAUUCAACAGUUCAAUUCCAACGAGGUCAUGCUCCUCUCUAACUCUCAGCGUCAAAAUAUUCCUCCCCUCAGACUCUCUGCAGGUUUUCAUGUGCCAAUCAUGGAAUCUUCACAUCAUCGUUGUUAGAGAUCUUUCAUCUUUGACGAGAGGCUUCCCAUACACGUAUUUGUGUUCGUCCACCUCCAAGAAAUCAUAAUGUACAUCGUCGGGCAGGUAUCUCCAAGAUUGUUAUAACUGGGCACCAUCCCGGCCGGAUCAUUAGCGACGAUAUCGCUAGACACCUGGAGCGGGGGAACGAUUGGUUCGCUUGUUCGCCGAGCUGGGUAAUUUUUUCCCCAACUCGUCGUUCUGCUAACCUUUGACCACUGACAGUACUUCCUGACCGCUCUGCUUUGAUAAAUGACUUUGCAAUAAUGCGCUCAUAGUUGCCUUUCACCGGAGGCUUUGGUGGUUUCUUCAGGGCAGCCAGAGUACGCUUCACUUUUACCGGAUCUAUCUUCUCCUCCGGAAGUGGAUGUUUCUUUGCUUUCACCCCUUCAAAGAAGUUCUUCACUUCGGCUUGCACGAUCUUCGUGUUUUCCUCCAGGGUCCUCUUGUAUGGUAACUUCUCUGGAGUCUUCAGAGAAGUACCGAAUCUGUAUUGCCUCCCGCCUCUGGCUGUACUGCUAGAUGCCGGAGCAGACGGAGCAGCUGCGGCUAUCUUUCCUUUCUUACGAGGCGGAGGAGAAGGACUACCACGCGCUGGAGCAGCCGGAGUGGCGGCGGGUCUCUUGAUUCACCCUUGUUGGCGAGGUGGAGAAGGAGGAGACUGGCUGCUUGGGCGCGCCGGCGCAGGCGGAGAAGGAGGCGGAGUACCGCCACGCGCCGGAGAAGGAGGCUGAGUGCCCUGAUCACUCGCCGGAGGAGGAGGCGGACUGCCCUGACUCGCCGGAGGAGGAGGAGGAGGAGGCGGAGGCGUCCAGUUCGGAAGGUUGAUGAGCUCCUUCCGCCAUAGGCAUGGAGUCUUCAGAGAAGAACCCAGCCGAAUCUCCCCUUCACCCGUAGGGUGGUCAAGCUUGAGGUCCUCAAAACCGUCUGUUAUUUCAUCCACCAUCACCCUAGCAUAUCCUUCUGGAAUCGACCGGCCAUGGUAGGUUGCGCCAGGUUCAGUAGGUAAAACAGAGCGAACAGCCGCCUUGACUUUCAAUUUCAUCCAUUGUGUCAUAAGGUAGAAAUGUUGAGACUCCGUGAUAGCAUCCACGGGGUAGCUAGCAGGAGCCGUGAAUACAUGCUCCAGCUGCUGAGUCUGCUCGGUGGAAGCCACGCUGCUUCUCCGCUGAGAUGGCGGGGUAGCUUCAGGGGAAGCUUCGGCAAGUCGUUUGCUGCGAUCUGCUUCUCGUUCCUCUAGCCCUUGUACCCUUACGUGCAGCGCCUGCAGUUGGCUAUGCUCCACUUUCUUCCUCCUCUCCUGGCAUUUGUAACCCCCUGCGUCCGAAAACCCAGCCUUCCACGAAACGAAGCCUGGUGUGCCUCGUGUCCGUCCAGGGUGCUUAGGAUUCCCGAGGGCCAUUGUGAGCUCGUCCUUCUCUCUGUCUAGAACGAACGUCCCUUGAUGCACUUUCUCGAUAUACUCCUGAAGCCUCGUGACGGGUAUUCACAGUUGCUCUUCCAUCCAAACGCACUUCCCUGAUAUAGGGUCCAAGGUUUCGCCAACCCCGAAGAACCAAGUCCGGCAACGGUCUGGCCAGUUCAAUGUCUCUGGUUCGGCCCCUUUAUCAAUCAGGUCAUUCUCAGUCUUGUCCCACAAAGGUCGGGCUUUGAGGUAGCCACCUGACCCCGUGCGAUGGUGAUGCUUCUUCUUCGCAGCAUUUUUCUUGUUUGUCGCUGACAUCUUCUUACUCUUUUCCGAUGUCUUGUGGGCCACAAAUGCGGGCCAGUGAUCUCUGAUCUUCUCAUACUUUCCGGUGAAUUCUGGUGUCUUUUCUUCGUCGACAAACUCUGUUUUCAGCUCAUUCUUCCACCUCCUGAAUAGUUCUGCCAUCUUCUUAAGAGCAUGAGACUUGGUCAAUUGCUCUUUAACUGGCUUCUCCGGAUCCUCCUCUGGCGGUAGGGUGAAAUUUGCCUUAAGUGUUGUCCAAAGAUCAUCUUUCUGCAUAUCAGAGACAUAAGACACCUCAGGAUCUUCAUUCUUAGGCUUUAACCAUUGGUGGGUACUGAUCGGGAUCUUGCCCCUAACAAGAACCCCGCACUGAGCACGAAAUGCAUCCUUUGUCCGGAUGGGUUCAAUCGGCUUGCCAUCGCGCGAGAUUGCUGUGAUCUCAAACCUUUCAUCCGAGCGCAACUUUUUCUUCGGUCCUCGUCUCUUUACCGAAGUUGUGCUCGAUCCAGAGGGAUAGAUAAAAGAAGAAAGAUGAGAGUUAAUUAAUAUGUGUACAUACAAAAACAAUGAAUGCAUCAAUUAGCUAGUCAGCACAGGCUUAACUAAUAUAUAUACCUGGCCGGACUCGGUUCGAUCACCGGAGCCGUCAUCACGAACUCCUUCUUGUACCGGCAUUGGGUCACCGGAGCCAUCAUAAUCAUAGUCUUCUUCUUCACCCUGUCCUUCCAGACCAUCAGUGUCGUUGAGAUACGACAAGACGGCAUCACUUCCUUUUGCGAUUAUGUCCCCCAACAUCGCUUCUGUUGCUUCGUCUCGGGGGUUCUCCAUAGUUUUUGCAAAUAUUUACAACAUGGCAAUUAUUAUUCAAACAUGACAGAUGGAUAUAUUAGUGGCAAACGUAGAACUAGCUAGCUAAUCACAAUAAGGAAUCAUAUUAGUGGCCUCGACGCUGCUUCUCUAGGGUUUGGGGUGGCCUCGGCAACGCUUCAAGGGUUUGGGGUGGCCUCGACAACGCUUCAAGGGUUUCGCUAGCCUCGAGAGAGUUUGUCGGGUAGGGGCACGGCGGGAGGGGGUAGGAGACUGGCAUCAUUUUUUCUAGGGUUUGGGUGUCCUCGAGAGUUUUGGUCGAGCGAGAGNNNNNNNNNNNNNNNNNNNNNNNNNNNNNNNNNNNNNNNNNNNNNNNNNNNNNNNNNNNNNNNNNNNNNNNNNNNNNNNNNNNNNNNNNNNNNNNNNNNNNNNNNNNNNNNNNNNNNNNNNNNNNNNNNNNNNNNNNNNNNNNNNNNNNNNNNNNNNNNNNNNNNNNNNNNNNNNNNNNNNNNNNNNNNNNNNNNNNNNNNNNNNNNNNNNNNNNNNNNNNNNNNNNNNNNNNNNNNNNNNNNNNNNNNNNNNNNNNNNNNNNNNNNNNNNNNNNNNNNNNNNNNNNNNNGGAAAAUAAUGUUAUCGGGGAGGGGGUAUAUCGACCCCCCCCCCCUCGUGUUAAAGUUAUCAGGAGGGGGUAUAUCGACAACGACAUACCCGAUAAAAAAUAAGAAGACAAAAGAAGAAAUAAAAAGAGGAGAAGAAGAAAGGAAUAGAGAGAAGAUCGAAGAAAAAGAAGAAGAAGAAAAAGAGGAGCAGAAGAAAGGAAUAGAGAAGAAGAAGAAGAAAAAAUAGAAAAUAUUCUAUUUUCUCUUCUUCUCCUCUUCUUUUUCUUUUUUUUCCUCUUCUUAUUUAUUUCUCCUCUUCUUCCUCUCCUCUUCUUGUCCUUUCUUCCUCUUCUUGUUUCCCUUUUUCCUCUCAUUCUUUUUCUUCUUCUUCCUUUCCUAGCUAGAUAUAUAAUUUUUUUCUAAAAUGUAACUUUUGCAUAUAUAAAACUUUUUCUUCUUCUUCCUUCUUCCUUCUCUUCCUUCUUCCUAAAUAUAUAAAACUUUUCUAAAAAUGAAACUAACCUAAAAUGUACUAAAUCAUAGAACAUAUAUAGAUAAAACAUUUCUAAAAAUCUAACUUUUGCAUAUAUGUAUUUUUAAAACAUCAUGCAUAUUACAAUUGAAAAAAAUACAUACAUACAUAAAAAAACAUGCAAAAAAUACAUACAUAUAUCAAAAAAAAUACAUAUAUCUAAAAAAUACAUACAUACAUAUAUUAAAAUCUAAAAACAUGUAAAAAUAGCAUGUAUAACUAAAAAGUUACAUUUGGCGGCNNNNNNNNNNGCGGGCAACGGCGUCGCAGCUGGGGUGGCGCGCGCAACGGGGCUGGGGCAGCGCGCAGCGAUGGCGUCGGGCGAGGGCACAGGCGACGGCGACGGCAGGGGCGGCGGGCGGCAUUGGGGUAGCCUGGCGGCGUCGAUUUCAUCGAGGGGUUGUCGGGGGCAACUGCGAGAUGGAGAUGAAAAUUUUCACAAGUGCUACUUAUAUACCCAGGGCAUUGGUGUUGGGGAACGUAGUAAUUUCAAAAUUUUCCUAUGCACACGCAAGAUCAUGGUGAUGCAUAGCAACGAGAGGGGAGAGUGUUGUCCACGUACCCUCGUAGACCAUAAGCAGAAGCGUUAUGACAACGCGGUUGAUGUAGUCGUACAUCUUCACGAUCCGACCGAUCCAAGUACCAAACGUACGGCACCUCCGAGUUCAGCACACGUUCAGCUCGAUGACGAUCCCCGGACUCCGAUCCAGCAAAGUGUCGAGGAUGAGUUCCGUCAGCACGACGGCGUGGUGACGAUGAUGAUAUUCUACCGGCGCAGGGCUUCGCCUAAACUCCGCGACGAUAUGACCGAGGUGGAAUAUGGUGGAGGGGGGCACCGCACACGGCUAAGGAACGAUCUUGAAGAUCAACUUGUUUGUUCUAGGGUGCCCCCCGCCCCCGUAUAUAAAGGAGCAAGGGGGGAGGCCGGCCGGCCCUUGUGGGCGCGCCAAGGAGGAGGAGUCCUCCUCCUAGUAGGAGUAGGACUCCCUCUUUCCUACUCCUACUAGGAGGGGGAAAGGAAGGGGGAGAGGGAGAGGGAAAGAGGGGGGCGCCGCCCCCCCUCUCCUAGUCCAAUUCGGACCAGNNNNNNNNNNNNNNNNNNNNNNNNNNNNNNNNNNNNNNNNNNNNNNNNNNNNNNNNNNNNNNNNNNNNNNNNNNNNNNNNNNNNNNNNNNNNNNNNNNNNNNNNNNNNNNNNNNNNNNNNNNNNNNNNNNNNNNNNNNNNNNNNNNNNNNNNNNNNNNNNNNNNNNNNNNNNNNNNNNNNNNNNNNNNNNNNNNNNNNNNNNNNNNNNNNNNNNNNNNNNNNNNNNNNNNNNNNNNNNNNNNNNNNNNNNNNNNNNNNNNNNNNNNNNNNNNNNNNNNNNGGCACUCCGGUUUUCUCCGAAAACACCCGGAACACUUCCGGUGUCCGAAUAUAGUCGUCCAAUAUAUCAAUCUUUAUGUCUCGACCAUUUCGAGACUCCUCGUCAUGUCCGUCAUCACAUCCGGGACUCUGAACAAACUUCGGUACAUCAAAACUUAUAAACUCAUAAUAAAACUAUCAUCGUAACGUUAAGCGUGCGGACCCUACGGGUUCGAGAACUAUGUAGACAUGACCUAGAACUAUUCUCGAUCAAUAACCAAUAGCGGAACCUGGAUGCUCAUAUUGGCUCCUACAUAUUCUACGAAGAUCUUUAUCGGUCAAACCGCAUAACAACAUACGUUGUUCCCUUUGUCAUCGGUAUGUUACUUGCCCGAGAUUCGAUCGUCGGUAUCCAAUACCUAGUUCAAUCUCGUUACGGGCAAGUCUCUCUACUCGUUACGUAAUGCAUCAUUCCGUAACUAACUCAUUAGCUACAUUGCUUGCAAGGCUUAUAGUGAUGUGCAUUACCGAGAGGGCCCAGAGAUACCUCUCCGACAAUCGGAGUGACAAAACCUAAUCUCGAAAUACGCCAACCCAACAUGUACCUUCGGAGACACCUGUAGUACUCCUUUAUAAUUACCCAGUUACGUUGUGACGUUUGGUAGCACCCAAAGUGUUCCUCCGGUAAACGGGAGUUGCAUAAUCUCAUAGUUACAGGAACAUGUAUAAGUCAUGAAGAAAGCAAUAGCAAUAUACUAAACGAUCAAGUGCAAGGCUAACGGAAUGGGUCAUGUCAAUCACAUCAUUCUCCUAAUGAUGUGAUCCCGUUAAUCAAAUGACAACUCAUGUCUAUGGCUAGGAAACUUAACCAUCUUUGAUUCAACGAGCUAGUCAAGUAGAGGCAUACUAGUGACACUAUGUUUGUCUAUGUAUUCACACAUGUAUUAUGUUUCCGGUUAAUACAAUUCUAGCAUGAAUAAUAAACAUUUAUCAUGAUAUAAGGAAAUAAAUAAUAACUUUAUUAUUGCCUCUAGGGCAUAUUUCCUUCAGUCUCCCACUUGCACUAGAGUCAAUAAUCUAGUUCACAUCGCCAUGUGAUUUAACACCAAUAAUAUUCAUAUUUGUAUAUGAUUAACACCCAUAGUUCACAUCGUCAUGUGACCAACACCCAAAGGGUUUACUAGAGUCAAUAAUCUAGUUCACAUUGCUAUGUGAUUAACACCCAAAAGAGUACUAAGGUGUGAUCAUGUUUUGCUCGUGAGAGAAGGUCAGUCAACGGGUCUGUCACAUUCAGAGCCGUAUGUAUUUUGUAAAUAUUCUAUGUCUACAAUGCUCUGCACGGAGCUACUCUAGCUAAUUGCUCCCACUUUCAAUAUGCAUCCAGAUUGAGACUUAGAGUCAUCUGGAUCGGUGUAAAAGCUUGCACCGAUGUAACUCUUUACGACGAACUCUUUUAUCACCUCCAUAAUCGAGAAACAUCUCCUUAGUCCUCACUAAGGAUAUUCUUGACCGUUGUCCAGUGAUCUACUAUUAGAUCAAAAUUGUAUUCCUUUGUCAAACUCAGAACAAGGUAUACAAUAGGUCUGCUUCACAGCAUAGCACACUUUAUAGAACCUAUGACUGAGGCAUAGGGAAUGACUUUUCAUUCUCUUUCUAUUUUCUGCCAUGGUUGGAUCUUGAGUCUUACUCAACUUCACACCUUGCAACACAGGCAAGAACUCCUUCUUUGACUGUUCCAUUUUGAACUAUUUCAAUAAAAUUAUCAAGGUAUGUACUCAUUGAAAAAUCUUAUCAAGUGUCUUGAUCUAUCUAUAUAGAUCUUGAUGCUCAAUGUGUAAGUAGCUUCACCGAGGUCUUGCUUUGAGAAACUCUUAUUCAAGUAUCCUUUCAUGCUAUCCAGAAUUUCUAUAUCAUUUCCAAUCAACAAUAUGUCAUCCACAUAUAAUAUUAGAAAUGCUACAGAGCUCCCACUCACUUUCUUGUAAAUAUAGGCUUCUCAAAAAGUCUGUAUAAAACCAUAUGCUUUGAUCAACUCAUCAAAGCGUAUAUUCCAACUCCGAUAUGCUUGCACUAGUCCAUUGAUGGAUUGCUGGAGCUUGCACACUUUGUUUAGCAUCUUUAGGAUUGACAAAACCUUCUGGUUGUAUCAUAUACAACUCUUCUUUAAUAAAUCCAUUAAGGAAUGUAGUUUUGACAUCCAUUUGCCAAAUUUCAUAAAAUGUGGCAAUUGCUAACAUGAUUCGGACAGACUUUUAAGCAUCGAUACGAGUGAGAAAAUCUCAUUGUAUUCAACACCUUGAACUUUGUCAAAAACCUUUUUCGACAAGUCUAGCUUUGUAGAUAGUAACACUACUACCAGCGUCCGUCUUCUUCUUGAAGAUCCAUUUAUUUUCUAUGGCUUGCCGAUCAUCGGGCAAGUCCACCAAAGUCCACACUUUGUUCUCAUACAUGGAUCCCAUCUCAGAUUUCAUGGCCUCAAACCAUUUUGCGGAAUCUGGGCUCAUCAUCGCUUCCUCAUAGUUUGUAGGUUCAUCAUGGUCUAGUAACAUGAUUUCCAGAAUAAGAUUACCGUACCACUCUGGUGCGGAUCAUAAUCUGGAAGAUCUACAAAGUUUGGUAGUAACUUGAUCUGAAGUUUCAUGAUCAUCAUCAUUAGCUUCCUCACUAAUUGGUGUAGGAAUCACUGGAACUAAUUUCUGUGAUGAACUACUUUCCAAUUCGGGAGAAGGUACAAAUUACCUUAUCAAUCUCUACUUUCCUCCCACUCACUUCUUUCGAGAGAAACUUCUUCUCUAGAAAGGAUCCAUUCUUAGCAACGAAUGUUUUGCCUUCGGAUCUGUGAUAGAAGGUGUACCCAACAGUUUCCUUUGGGUAUUCUAUGAAGACGCACUUCUCCGAUUUGGGUUCGAGCUUAUCAGGUUGAAACUUUUUCACAUAAGCAUUGCAGCCCCAAACUUUUAAGAAACGACAACUUUGGUUUCUUGCCAAACCACAGUUCAUAAAGCGUCGUCUCAACGGAUUUUGAUGGUGCCCUAUUUAAAGUGAAUGCAGCUGUCUCUAAUGCAUAACCCCAAAACGAUAGUGGCAAACCGGUAAGAGACAUCAUAGAUCGCACCAUAUCUACUAAAGUACGAUUACGACGUUCGGACACACCAUUACAUUGUGGUGUUCCAGGUGGCAUGAGUUUGUGAAACUAUUCCACAUUGUUUUAAUUGAAAACCAAACUCGUAACUCAAAUAUUUGUCUCCGCGAUCAAAUUGCAGAAACUUUAUUUUCUUGUUACGAUGAUUCUCCACUUCACUCUGAAAUUCUUUGAAUUUUUCAAAUGUUUCAGACUUGUGCUUCAUUAAGUAGAUAUACUCAUAUCUGCUCAAUUCAUCUUGUGAAGGUCAGAAAAUAACGAUACCCGCCACGAACAUCAACACUCAUUGGACCGCAUACAUCGGUCUGUAUUAUUUCCAAUAAGUCACUAGCUCGUUCCAUUGUUCCGGAGAACGGAGUUUUAGUCAUCUUGCCCAAAAGGCACGGCUCACAAGCAUCAAAUGAUUCAUAACCAAGAGAUUCCAAAAUUCCAUCUUUAUGGAGUUUCUUCAUGCGCUUUACACCGAUAUGACCCAAAGGCAGUGCCACAAAUAAGUUGCACUAUCAUUAUCAACUUUGCAUCUUUUGGCAUCAAUAUUAUGAAUAUGCGUAUCACUACGAUUGAGAUCCAACAAACUAUUUUCAUUGGGUGUAUGACCAUCGAAGGCUUUAUUCAUGUAAACAGAAUAACAAUUAUUCUCUGACUUUAAAUGAAUAACCGUAUUGCAAUAAACAUGAUCAAAUCAUAUUCAUGCUCAACGCAAACGCCAAAUUUAUUUAGGUUCACCACUAAUCUCGAAAGUGUAGGGAGAGUGUGAUGAUGAUCAUAUCAAUCUUGGAACUACUUCCAACACACAUCGUCACUUCACCCUCAACUAGUCUCUGUUUAUUCUAUAACUCCUAUUUCGAGUUACUAAUUUUUAGCAACUGAACAAGUAUCAAAUACUCAGGGGCUACUAUAAACACUAGUAAAGUACACAUCAAUAACAUGUAUAUCAAAUAUACCCUUGUUCACUUUGCCAUCCUUCUUAUCUACCAAAUAUUCAAGGCAUUUCCGCUUCUAGUGACCAUUUCCUUUGCAGUAUAAUCACUCAGUUUCAGGCUUUGGUCCAGCUUUGGGCUUCUUCGCGGGAGUGACAACUUGCUUGCCAUUCUGCUUGAAGUUCCCUUUCUUUCCCUUUGCCCUUUUCUUGAAACUAGUGGUCUUGUCAAUCAUCAACACUUGAUUAUCUUUCUUGAUUUCUACCUUCGUCGAUUUGAGCAUCACGAACAGCUCGGGAAUUGUUUUCGUCAUCCCUUGCAUUAUAGUUCAUCACGAAGUUCUACUAACUUGGUGGUGGUGACUAGAGAAUUCUAUCAAUCACUAUCUUAUCUGGAAGAUUAACUCCCACUUGAUUCAAGCGAUUGUAGUACCCAGACAAUCUGAGCACAUGCUCACUAGUUGAGCGAUUCUCCUCCAUCUUUUAGCCAUAGAACUUGUUGGAGACCUCAUAUCUCUCAACUCGGGUAUUUGCUUGAAAUAUUAACUUCAACUCCUGGAACAUCUCAUAUGGUCCAUGACAUUCAAAACGUUUUUGAAGUCCCGAUUCUAAGCCAUAAAGCAUGGUGCACAAAACUAUCAAGUAGUCAUCAUAUUGAGCUAGCCAAACAUUCAUAACGUCUGCAUCUGCUCCUGCAAUAGGUCUGUCACCUAGCGGUGUAUCAAGGACAUAAUUCUUCUGUGCAGCAAUGAGGAUAAACCUCAGAUCACGGAUCCAAUCCGCAUCAUUGCUACUAACAUCUUUCAACACAAUUUUCUCUAGGAACAUAUCAAAAUAAACAUAUGAAAGCAACAACACAAGCUAUUGAUCUACAACAUAAUUUGCAAAAUACUACCAGGACUAAGUUCAAGAUAAAUUAAAGUUCAGUUAAUCAUAUUACUUAAGAACUCCCACUUAGAUAGACAUCCCUCUAAUCCUCUAAGUGAUUACGUGAUCCAUAUCAACUACACCAUGUCCGAUCAUCACAUGAGAUGGAGUAGUUUCAACGGUGAACAUCAAUAUGUUGAUCAUAUCUACUAUAUGAUUCACGCUCAACCUUUCGGUCUCCGUGUUCCGAGGCCAUAUCUGUUAUAUGCUAGGCUCGUCAAGUUUAACCUGAGUAUUCCGCGUGCGCAACUGUUUUGCACCCGUUGUAUUUGAACGUAGAGCCUAUCACACCCGAUCAUCACAUGGUGUCUCAGCACGAAGAACUUUCGCAACGGUGCAUACUCAGGGAGAACACUUCUUGAUAAUUAGUGAGAGAUCAUCUUAUAAUGCUACCGUCAAACAAAACAGAAUAAGAUGUAUAACAGAUAAACAUCAUAUGCAAUCAAAAUACGUGACAUGAUAUGGCCAUGAUCAUCUUGCGCCUUUGAUCUCCAUCUCCAAAGUACUGUCAUGAUCUAUAUCGUUACCGGCACGACACCACGAUCUUCAUCAUCUUGAUCUAUAUCAAUGUAUUGUCACAUGGCCGUCUCGCCAACUAUUGCUCUUGCAACUAUUGCUAUCGCAUAACGAUAAAGUAAAGCAAUUAUUUGGCACUUGCAUCUUAUGCAACAAAGAGACAACCAUAGGGCUUGUGCCAGUUGCCGAUAACUUCAACAAAACAUGAUCAUCUCAUACAACAACUUAUAUCUCAUCAUGUCUUGACCAUAUCACAUCACAACAUGCCCUGCAAAAACAAGUUAGACGUCCUCUACUUUGUUGUUGCAAAUUUUACGUGGCUGCUACGGGCUGAGCAAGAACCGAUCUUACCUACGCAUCAAAACCACAAUGAUAGUUCGUCAAGUUAGUGCUGUUUUAAUCUUCGCAAGGACCGGGCGUAGCCACACUUGGUUCAACUAAAGUUGGAGAAACAGACACCCGCUAGUCACCUAUGUGCAAAGCACGGCGGUAAAACCAGUCUCGCGUAAGCGUACGCGUAAUGUCGGUCUGGGCCGCUUCAUCCAACAAUACCGCUGAACCAAAGUAUGACAUGCUGGUAAGCAGUAUGACUUGUAUCGCCCACAACUCAUUUGUGUUCUACUCGUGCAUAUAACAUCAACGCAUAAACCCUAGGCUCGGAUGCCACUAUUGGGGAGCAUAGUAAUUUCAAAAAUUUCCUACGCACACGCAAGAUCAUGGUGAUGCAUAGCAACGAGAGGGGAGAGUGUUGUCCACGUACCCUCGUAGACCGUAAGCGGAAGCGUUAUGACAACGUGGUUGAUGUAGUCGUACGUCUUCACGAUCCGACCGAUCCAAGUACCGAACGUACGGCACCUCCGAGUUCAGCACACGUUCAGCUCGAUGACGAUCCCCAGACUCCGAUCCAGCAAAGUGUCGGGGAUGAGUUCCGUCAGCACGACGGCGUGGUGACGAUGAUGAUGUUCUACCAGCGCAGGGCUUCGCCUAAACUCCGCGAUGAUAUGACCGAGGUGGAAUACGGUGGAGGGGGGCACCGCACAUGGCUAAGGAACGAUCUUGAAGAUCGACUUGUGUGUUCUAGGGUGCCCCCCUGCCCCCGUAUAUAAAGGAGCAAGGGGGAGGCCGGCCGCCCUUGUGGGCGCGCCAAGGAGGAGGAGUCCUCCUCCUAGUAGGAGUAGGACUCCCUCUUUCCUACUCCUACUAGGAGGGGGAAAGGAAGGGGAGAGGGAGAGGGAAAGAGGGGGGCGCCGCCCCCCUCUCCUAGUCCAAUUCGGACCAGAGGGGGAGGGGGGGCGCGGCCCAUGCUGGCUGCCCCUCUCUCUCUCCACUAAGGCCCAUAAGGCCCAUUACUUCUCCCGGGGGGUUCCGGUAAUCCUCCGGCACUCCGGUUUUCUCUGAAAACACCCGGAACACUUCCGGUGUCCGAAUAUAGUUGUCCAAUAUAUCAAUCUUUAUGUCUCGACCAUUUCGAGACUCCUCGUCAUGUCCGUCAUCACAUCCGGGACUCCGAACAAACUUCGGUACAUCAAAACUUAUAAACUCAUAAUAAAACUGUCAUCGUAACGUUAAGCGUGCGGACCCUAUGGGUUCGAGAACUAUGUAGACAUGACCUAGAACUAUUCUCGGUCAAUAACCAAUAGCGGAACCUGGAUGCUCAUAUUGGCUCCUACAUAUUCUACGAAGAUCUUUAUCGGUCAAACCGCAUAACAACAUACGUUGUUCCCUUUGUCAUCGGUAUGUUACUUGCCCGAGAUUCGAUCGUCGGUAUCCAAUACCUAGUUCAAUCUCGUUACCGGCAAGUCUCUUUACUCGUUACGUAAUGCAUCAUUCCGUAACUAACUCAUUAGCUACAUUGCUUGCAAGGCUUAUAGUGAUGUGCAUUACCGAGAGGGCCCAGAGAUACCACUCCGACAAUCGGAGUGACAAAACCUAAUCUCGAAAUACGCCAACCCAACAUGUACCUUCGGAGACACCUGUAGUACUCCUUUAUAAUCACCCAGUUACGUUGUGACGUUUGGUAGCACCCAAAGUGUUCCUCCGGUAAAUGGGAGUUGCAUAAUCUCAUAGUUACAGGAACAUGUAUAAGUCAUGAAGAAAGCAAUAGCAAUAUACUAAACGAUCAAGUGCUAGGCUAACGGAAUGGGUCAUGUCAAUCACAUCAUUCUCCUAAGGAUGUGAUCCCGUUAAUCAAAUGACAACUCAUGUCUAUGGCUAGGAAACUUAACCAUCUUUGAUUCAACGAGCUAGUCAAGUAGAGGCAUACUAGUGACACUAUGUUUGUCUAUGUAUUCACACAUGUAUUAUGUUUCCGGUUAAUACAAUUCUAGCAUGAAUAAUAAACAUUUAUCAUGAUAUAAGGAAAUAAAUAAUAACUUUAUUAUUGCCUCUAGGGCAUAUUUCCUUCAAUUGGUACCGGUUUGUGGCACCAACCAGUACCAAUGCCCCCUUUAGUCCCGGUUGGUGCCACCAACCGGGACCAAAGGUCACUUUUCAGCAGCCCAAAGGGCGAGAAGCAGAGGCCUUUGGUCCCGGUUGGUGGCACCAGCUGGGACUAAAGGUGGGCAUUGGUACCGGUUGGUGCCACCAACCGGGACCAAAGCCACCCUUUAGUCCCGGUUGGUGCCACCAACCGGGACCAAUGGCCUUGCACAGCGGGGUGGUGGUGGGAGUUUAGUCCCACCUCGCUAGUUGAGAGCGCCGGUGACCUGUUUAUAAGCUCCGUUGCCUCCUCUCUAUCUCGAACUCCUCUGAACUGCAGGCCUAUGGGCCUAAUCUGACACUGCUUUGCCUGUGGGCCUGCUGGACCUUCUGCAGGCUUGAAUCCUGGCCCAAGUAGCUAGGUUUCUAGUCGUAUUCAGGUCGUGGUGGCCCAGUAGGUGGCAAUUUUUUUAUUUUUUCCCAGUUUUUUGUUUUCUUUUUUGCUUUAUUUAUUUUGUUUUGUUUCUACUAACAAUAAAAUACUUAUUUAUUUUAUUUUAUUUUGUUUAUAAUUACUUAUUUAUUUUAUUUUAUGAUAAUUCUUUUUGCUAUUAAAGUUUCUAACAAAAAAAGUUCUUUAUGAAAAUUCUUUUUGCUUUUAAUGAUUUUGAACAGAAAAUACUUUGAUAAUUUUAGUUUCAUAAAUUUUAUUUAUGUUAUUAAAGUUUAUUCUAUUUUAUUUUGCUUNNNNNNNNNNNNNNNNNNNNNNNNNNNNNNNNNNNNNNNNNNNNNNNNNNNNNNNNNNNNNNNNNNNNNNNNNNNNNNNNNNNNNNNNNNNNNNNNNNNNNNNNNNNNNNNNNNNNNNNNNNNNNNNNNNNNNNNNNNNNNNNNNNNNNNNNNNNNNNNNNNNNNNNNNNNNNNNNNNNNNNNNNNNNNNNNNNNNNNNNNNNNNNNNNNNNNNNNNNNNNNNNNNNNNNNNNNNNNNNNNNNNNNNNNNNNNNNNNNNNNNNNNNNNNNNNNNNNNNNNNNNNNNNNNNNNNNNNNNNNNNNNNNNNNNNNNNNNNNNNNNNNNNNNNNNNNNNNNNNNNNNNNNNNNNNNNNNNNNNNNNNNNNNNNNNNNNNNNNNNNNNNNNNNNNNNNNNNNNUUUGUUUCUGCUUAUAUAUAUUAUUAAAGUUUAUAUUAUUUUGUUAUAAAUUAGUUAUUUAUUUUAUUUUAUGAUAAUUAUUUUUGGUAUUAAAGUUUCUAACAAAAAAGUUAUUUACGAACUCUGAAACAAAGGGAUUUCAUACGGGAACUCGUCUGUUAUAAAGGGAUUUCAUUUUUGUUAUCACAGUUUCAUCACGAAACUUGUCUGUUACAAAGGGAUUUCAUUUUUUUGAACUUAUUUGAACUCCAUAGUGUUUUUGUGUUCAAAAUGCACCAUUCAAAGCCACAUCAUCAAUUUUCAACUCUUUCUAACUUCAUUUGUUAUUUUUCAUGCAUUUACUGAUUAUUUUGAGCUACAAGACCAUGAAAUUGAAAAGCAUUUGAAAUGAACUCUGAAAAGGUUGAAAGUUGGCAUGGUAUCAUCAUUUCACCAAAAUAGCAUGUGCAGGAAAGUAGAGAGGGUUACGACAAAAACUGGAUGCACUUCAUGUACAAAACGGACAAUCUCUUUCGAAGUAUCAGGGUUUCAUCACGAAACUCGUCUGUUACAAAGGGAUUUCAUUUUUUUGAACUUAUUUGAACUCCAUAUUUUUUUGUGUUCAAAAUGCACCAUUCAAAGCAACAUCAUCAAUUUUCAACCCUUUCUGACUUCAUUUGUUAUUUUUCAUGCAUUUACUGAUUAUUUUGAGCUACAGGACCAUGAAAUUGAAAGGCAUUUGAAAUGAACUCUGAAAAGGUUGAAAGUUGGCAUGGUAUCAUCAUUUCACCCACAUAGCAUAUGCAAGAAAGUAGAGAGGGUUAUGGCAAAAACUGGAUGCACUUCGUGUAGAAAACAGACAAUCUCUUUCGAAGUAUCAGGGUUUCAUCACGAAACUCGUCUGUUACAAAGGGAUUUCAUUUUUUUGAACUUAUUUGAUCUCCACAGUUUUUUUGUGUUCAAAAUGCACCAUUCAAAGCCACAUCAUCAAUUUUCAACCCUUUCUGACUUCAUUUGUUAUUUUUCAUGCAUUUACUGAUUAUUUUGAGCUAUAAGACCAUGCAAUUGAAAAGCAUUUGAAAUGAACUCUGAAAAGGUUGAAAGUUGGCAUGGUAUCAUCAUUUCACUCAAAUAGCAUAUGCAAGAAAGUAGAGAGGGUUACGGCAAAAACUGGAUGCACUUCGUGUAGAAAACGGGCAAUCUCUUUCGAAGUAUCAGGGUUUCAUCACGAAACUCGUCUGUUACAAAGAGAUUUUAUUUAUUUGAAUUUAUUUGAACUCCAUAGUUUUUUGUGUUCAAAAUGCACCAUUCAAAGCCACAUCAUCAAUUUUCAACCCUUUCUGACUUCAUUUGUUAUUUUUCAUGCAUUUACUGAUUAUUUUGAGCUAUAAGACCAUGAAAUUGAAAAGCAUUUGAAAUGAACUCUGAAAAGGUUGAAAGUUGGCAUGAUAUCAUCAUUUCACCCACAUAGUAUUUGCAAGAAAGUAGAUAGGGUUACGGCAAAAACUGGAUGCACUUCGUGUACAAAACAGACAAUCUCUUUCGAAGUAUCAGGGUUUCAUCACGAAACUCGUCUGUUACAAAGCCACAUCAUCAAUUUUCAACCCUAUCAUGAAUAGAUAAGUGAUCAAAUUAAUAGAAAUUCAUCAUCACAUUAAAACCAAAGUACAUACAUAGUUCUCAUUGAACAACAUAUAGCUCUCCAGAGCAUCUAAUUAAACCAUACAUUGAAAUUAUGUAAAACAUUUCAAUGCAAUACAAAUGCGAUCAUAAUCGCAACCAAGGUAACAACUGAUCCAACUGCAUAAUGAUACCAAGUCUUGGUAUGAAUGGCAUAUUUUCUAAUCUUUUUAAUCUUCAACCGCAUUACCAUCUUGAUCUUGUGAUCAUCAAUGACAUCCGCAACAUGCAACUCCAAUAUCAUCUUUUCCUCCUCAAUUUUUCUUAUUUUUUCUUUCAAGUAAUUGUUUUUUUCUUCAACUAAAUUUAACCUCUCGACAAUAGGGUCGGUUGGAAUUUCCGGUUCAAUAACCUCCUAGAUAAAUAAAAUCUAUUUCACGUUGGUCGGCGUAAUUGUCAUAAACAAUAAAUGAGCCAAAUAGUUAUCAAAAGAUAAUAUAUACCACAUCUGAAUCAUAGACAGGACGAGGGCCGACGGGGGUGGAUACCAAAACCAUCGCACUAUAUAAUAACAAGGAAUAAUAAAAGUAAGAAAAUUAGACAAGUAUCUAUCUGAAGUAAGAAUUUUUUUCUUUCAGAAAGAAGAUAAGAACAAGAGGCUCACCACGGUGGUGCCGGCGACGAGAUCGGCGCAGGCGAUCGACGGCGGUGAAGACGGGGACGGGACGUGACGGACCGCUAAACCUAGACAAAUCUCGGGGAAAAUGGAACUCGGAGGUCUACUUUCGAGAGGAGAAAGAUUAGCUAGUGUGGCUUGGACAUUUCAUCGAACACCUCAUGUGCAUAGGAGGUGAGCUAGAGCACUCAAAUGCCCUCCCCUCGUCAGCCAGAAAAAACAGAGCACUGUGGAGUGCUCUGCUGUGGCGAUGGGGUAUAUAUAGGCAACUCAUUUAUCCCGGUUCAUGGUAGAAACUGGGACUAAAGCCCGACACUCUGUCCCGAUUCAAGCCACGAACCGAGACCAAUGGUUGUGGGCCAGGAGCGAGGACCAUUGGUCCCGGUUCGUGCCUAAAACCAGGACAAAUGGCUCCAGACGAACCAGUACCAAUGCCCACGAGGCCCCGGCCGGCCCCCUGGGCUCACAAACUGGGACUAAUGCCCCCCAUGGGCCCCGGUUCGUGAAGAACCGGGACUAAUGGGCUGGCCAGGCCCGAACUAAAGCCAUGUUUUCUACUAGUGCAUGAAGAGUAGUGGAAAACUCCGCACACACUGCAAACCAGCUGCUGCAACAAGGAAGCUGGGCCCAAGCAGCAACUCAUCAGUACAUUAUGGUGAAAUGAACUAAAUGUGUUUUUCAUUAAUAGAAAAAUAAGAGAGAUGCUCACCAAAAGGCAGGUUUAGAAGUGAAGUCGUCUGUUUGUAUAGACCUUUUCCUGUUUUAUUAUUGGCUGUUUGACGAGGUCAGAGCAGCAAAUCCUUAGUGGCCACUCCCUUGUAAGUUCCAUGUACUGGGAUUUUACUUCGUGUUUUUUUAUUCUAUAUGGUAGAAUGAUGCUUCUAUCAUAUUGUAUGCUAGACCAACAUUGGUACCAACCUUACAGAAGAAAGAAAGUGAAAUAAUAACUAAAAUAUAAUAAAAAUAAUGAUUUUUUCCUAAGGUAGAAUGAAUUAUUGGUAUUUGUAUUAUCCUUUAUGAAUAAAGAAAAUGAAAAAAACAUAAAAAAAUUGCACACAACUUUGCACUUAUUUAGUAUGUAAGAAAUAAACAUACAAUGGUCCAAUUUUAGAACACUCUAAUAGUACAGUUUAUACACGUGUUAUACAGUAUUUGCGUGUACACAUUUUACUCUCACCCAACAUCCCAAAAAUACCCAUAAAAAUGACUAAGAAAAAGAAGAAAAAAGAAAAACUAAAAAGGCAUAUACAAACAUAAGAACAACAUGAAGCAUUGUCAGCUUAUAAAACACGAAAUGGGCUUCAGCCCAAUAACAAAUCGACUGACUCAGAAUAGUGGUCAGUCAAAAAUUUCAGUCCAAAACAUGACAACAAACACAACAGAAAAAACAUGCUACUGUAAAGUGUUAUACAUACAGAUAUUUUUCUACUAGGCUCAAAAAUCAAUGGCUCAAAAAUCGACCGACCCAAAUUUAUUUUUCAGACGAGUUACAUGUAGGUAAAGUGUUAUACAUACAGAUAUUUUUCUACGAGACAACAAUGUUUGCACAUCAAGUAACCUAAAAUUACCAUCUUGAAGACAAUGUGCAUGUCCCGGGAGUUUUACAUUUUAGAUCGGAGAAAGCAUAUGGUAUCUCCUGAAGAUAGCUCAAUGUGUUGAUUCCCUAGAAUCAAGGCUAGCUACAUAUCCGGAGGGAGAAUCCACAUGCUACUGUAAGGACUGCCCGUCACGAAAUAUCCUGUUGAUGUGAUUCUCUUCACGUCAUCGUUGGUGAUGUCCUUCUUCCUGUCGUCUCCCCUGUAAUAUUUCUGGCCACUGCAGCCUUUCGAGAACGUUCUUAACACACCACAAGGGGGAUCAUCACUUUGAUUCAAGCAACAAGAGUAAUAGAUGUGGUUUCUCUCCAUGUGGCCAGGUUUGUCUGCCGGCACAGGCACCGCCCUAGAGAAAGUUUGUCCUAAGAACAAGGCAUGGUCACCCAAGCUUGUGACCUCUAUCCACGUGUGCUUGUCAGACACCGCUAGUUCAUCGUCAUGGAUGUCGACGAGCUCGAACACCUUGAAGAAAGGCUCGUGGUCUAGUGACCACUGGGUUCUGAUGGCCAUUGCAAGCUUGCCACGUAAAUCAAAGAUGUAACUGAUCUUCUCCCCGAUGUUGUCCAUCGAGACAGAGCAGCUGAGAUGGAUCUCAGCAGUGACCACGGGCGCUCCGUGCUCAUUCACGCCUAUCUCAAAUUUGGUUACCUUCAUGUUGUACUUUGUGAGGCCAUACAGCUCGCCAUUGCAAAACGCGAUGUCGUCCAUUGUCUCGCGGGAUUUACAUAUUUGUCUCGUCCACACGCUGUCCGGACCGUCAACCCUACAUAGCGCGAUGCCACGGUGCUCGUUCACGGUGGCAAGGAUACAAUCACCCGAGGUGGGCGGCUUGGAGAAUACAAUUUUGCUCUCAGAGAAGACCCCCGCCGGUUUCUCAGGGAGAGCCACCUUGGCGCCGGAGAAGAGGUUGACGAUUCUGAGCGGCGCGGUUGAGAUGACCCAGCCGCCGUCAUGGCAGCCGAUGAGCCGCCUACUGCGCCGGGGAAGCUGGAGCCGCACCAUGGCGCCGUCCUCGGGGAUGUGCAGCCGCUUCGUCGUGCUGCAAUCGCAGGGCUCGAGGAGCAGCCACGGCAGCGCGGCGGCGGGCGGCGCCCCUCGCGCCGCGGCCCGCCACGACCGGCAGACGGCGGCAAAGCGCACACGGUCGCGCAGGGAGGCGACCAUGCGGUACACAACGGAGAGGACGUCGUCUGGUAACGCGGACGACCAGCGCCGCCGCCCUGCCGGCGGCGCUGUACGCGCACGCUUGUUUUCCCUCGACAUCGAUCGUUAGUCGACAACCUAUCGUGGAGAAAAACGCAAACUAGGUUUAACUUGUUUGUUGGGUACAUGCAGGAAUCGAUUGGAAAUCUCCAACAUCAUCUAAAAAAAGGAUCCAACAUAUCUCCUACUCGGUUACGACACGGAUUGUAGUACUCCGCCAAUGACAUCGAACCUUUAUAUUUUUAUAUACUUAUAAUUUUUGUUGGGAAAUAUAUACUCAGGGCAUGUACAAUGGAGGCAGCACCAUGUAGCUGUCCUAAACCUGGGCAAACGCCGGGCCGGGCUGGGUUUCGGGCCGGGCUUGUAAAAGCCCGACCUUCAUUUCUCAAGCUCGAGCCCGGCCCGAAGCCCAAAAUACUCCCUGAUUUCAAACCCGAGCCCGGUCCGAAAUCAAGCCCGAAGCCCGAAAGCCCGACCCGAAUGUUGUUUUUUAGUAUGUGUACGUGCAAGCCCGGCCCGAAGCCUGAAAGCCCAGCCCGAAAAAUAGAAAAAGAGAAGCCCGAGCCCGGCCCAAACUACCUUUCGGGCUGCAAAACAAAGCCCGAGCCUGGCCCAAGUGUCAAGCCCGACCCGGGUUUUUCGGGCCGGGUCGUCGGGCCGGGCUGCCCAUGCCCGGGUUUAAGUUGCCCCAUCUGACAUGUAGAUUGAAACCACCGUAUAAAUUUUCUCUCCCCAAAGCAGCCAUAGCUUGGCCGGACCACAUCUCCAUCAUUCUUCUUAGUAUCUCUCUUACUUUUUCCUUUAUACAUGCAUCAUAUCUCUCACAACCAGCUCUUCUCUUUUACUUUAUUUCACUUUUUUGGAUGAAGCACCGGCCUCCUCUGCAAGAUCCCGUUCUUCUCUUCAAGCACUAGCUUUUCCCCCUCUCUCUUCCACAUCAUCAGCUUUCUCUGUGGAGCAUUUGUCCGAUUUGGAGCGUUGGCCAUGCCCUUACAUGUCCAGAAAUUUUACUACUUGCAUCGUCAGAAAAGAAAACUACUCACGUGCUACCCGAGCAACCAAAAUUUGUACCCCAUUUACCUGUCGAAUUUCCAGGUAAACGGAAGUACGGAAUGAAAGAUUAGAAAAUUGGCUUACUCUUUGUAUAUUCUGCAAAACUUCACCGAAAUAAUAAGAUUUAACAAACCUUUACUUGGAUGUUGAAACACAAACCAGUUCAACUCGCUGAUUAUACUUGUUGUGCCCUCGGUGUGGCUUGAGCGUGAUGCUCGACAAAGUGGCCUUGCUUCCUACUCCCGUGAUAGCAAAUAUUCCGCUAGGUGGAAAUGGCUAUGGAUUUAGAAAACAUUUUUUUACAAAUGCCUAUGAAUUUAAAAUUGUUGUAAACAUUUUUUAAAAUAUCCAUGAAUUUAGAAAAUGUUAAAAAAUAUAUGUUCCUGAAUACAUAAUUUUUUCACAAAUUAAAGAUAUAAAAAUGAAAAAUUAGAAAUAAUAAAAACCAAAAGAAACCAACUAGAAAAUCACAGAAAAAACUAGCGGAAUCUUCCGAAACCUUCCCAAAAACUGAAAGGGGAAACAUCAGUGAAACCAUUCUUUUCUUGUAUAAAUAAAUGCAUCCAUGGUCAUCUUUAACUCAUUGCUUCCGUGAAGCAAAUUCAGUAGCCCAUGAGCUAGCUAAAUUCAGUUUUUGUAAUAAGUGUGAGACUAGUUGGAUGGAUGAACCUCCUGGGUUCUUAAUUCCCCAACUAGUGAACAAUGUAAUUCUUGUUUGACAUAUUAAUAUAAAGCUCGCCAUGAUGACCUUUCCCUCCAAACAAACAAAUAAAUGCAUGCGUCGUGACUUUAUCUUUUUUUUCUUGUACAAAUAAAUGCACCCAUGGUGACUUUGUCAAUGUAGGUUAAAACCCCCACAUUUUUUAGAGAAAAAAAUUGGUUAAACGAGGACUUGGGCCCAUACUAACCUAAGUGGCCCAAGCAGACAAAGCCUGGGCCUUUCUGGCCACUAGACGAAAGAAAGUUUGCGUAAUUCUGGGCAAAUUCUUCUCUCUUUCCUCUGGUCUCGUCGAGUUCCAAAGAAAGUAAGAAACCAUGCGAUGCGGCCGCGACUUCCCGCCACCAAGCUCAAACCGGCCGCCGCCGCACCACCACACUGCCCGCCUCGUCCUCCGGCAGCCGCCCGCGCCCUCUCCGCCGCCGCACCACCUUCCGACGCAUGCCACCUCCAGCAGCAGCAGCAGCAGCAGCAGCAGCUCGAUGCCCGCAUCGCCCGGGGCGACCUCACGCGCGCCCGCCACCUGUUCGACCGAAUGCCGGACCCGGACGCCCGCGCAUACAACGCCCUCAUCCGGGCCUACUCCUGGCGCGGCCCCGCCCACGCCGCCGGCGUGCUUGCCCUCUACGCCGCCAUGCUCCGCGGCGGCCGCUGCCCGCCCGACAAGUACACCUUCCCCUUCGUCCUCAAGGCCUGCUCCGCCCUCCGGGACCUCCGCGCGGGCCGCGCCAUCCACCGCCACGCCGCCCGCGCGGGCCUCCACGCCGACCUCUUCGUGUGCACCGCCCUCAUCGACCUCUACAUGAAGUGCGCCCGCUUCGGCCCCGCCGCCGUCGUCUUCCACGCUAUGCCCGCCAGGGACGCCGUCGCGUGGAACGCCAUGCUCGCCGGCUACGCGCUCCACGGCAUGUACCACCACGCGCUGGAGUGCCUCCUCCGCAUGCAGGAGGGCUGCGCCAGCCUCAGGCCCAACGCCUCCACCCUCGUCGCCCUCCUCCCACUGCUCGCCCAGCAGAGCGCGCUCUGUCAAGGAAAGUCGAUGCAUGCCUACAGCGUCCGUGCCUCUCUCCAUGACAAGGACGGGGUGCUCGUCGGCACCGCGCUGCUGGACAUGUAUGCAAAGUGCGGGGAAUUGCUCUAUGCACGCAGGGUCUUCGAGGCCAUGCCCAUCAGGAACGAUGUUACUUGGAGCGCCAUCAUCGGUGGCUUUGUGGUGUGCGGCAGGAUGACGGAGGCCUUCGGUCUGUUCAAGGACAUGCUGGCACAAGGACUGGGCUUCCUUUCCCCAACCUCUGUCGCCAGCGCUCUCAGAGCUUGCGCCAGCCUGGCUGAUCUCUGCAUCGGUAAACAGCUUCAUGUUUUGCUUGCGAAAUCCGGCCUCCACUCUGACCUGACCGCCGGGAACUCGCUCCUCUCGAUGUAUGCCAAGGCUGGGUUGAUCGACGAAGCUACUGCCCUUUUUGAUGAGAUGGCGGCCAAGGACACGGUCUCUUACAGUGCACUCGUAUCAGGGUAUGUGCAGAAUGGCAUGGCGGAUGCAGCGUUUCUCGUCUUCAGGAAGAUGCAGGCCUGCAACGUACAGCCGGAUGUUGCCACAAUGGUGUCACUCAUCCCAGCGUGUGCACACCUGGCGGCUUUGCAGCAUGGCAAAUGCAGCCAUGGUUCCGUCAUAGUUCGUGGAAUGGCACCAGAAACCUCUAUCUGCAAUGCCUUGAUGGAUAUGUAUGCAAAGUGUGGGAGGAUUGAUCUCUCCAGACAGAUUUUUGAUGUCAUGCCAGCUCAGGAUAUUGUGUCAUGGAAUACUAUGAUUGCGGGAUACGGAAUCCAUGGGCUCGGGAAGGAAGCCACUGCGCUGUUCUUGGACAUGAAGAAUCACGCCUGUGAACCUGAUGGCGUCACAUUCAUCUGCCUAAUUUCAGCGUGCAGCCAUUCUGGGCUCGUGACUGAAGGGAAACGCUGGUUUCACAUGAUGGCACAGAAGUAUGGUAUAACUCCAAGGAUGGAGCACUAUAUCAGCAUGGUUGAUCUUUUGGCGAGGGGGGGUUUCCUUGAUGAAGCCUAUCAGUUUAUCCAGAGCAUGCCGAUGAAAGCAGAUGUUCGUGUAUGGGGAGCCUUGCUUGCAGCUUGCCGGGUUCAUAAGAACAUCGAUUUAGGAAAGCAAGUGGCUAGGAUGAUCCAGAAACUAGGACCUGAGGGGACUGGCAACUUUGUUCUGUUGUCCAACAUAUUCAGCGCUGCUGGGAGAUUUGACGAGGCAGCAGAAGUUCGAAUAAUACAGAAGGAGAAGGGGUUCAACAAGAGCCCUGGCUGCAGUUGGAUCGAGAUAAAUGGCUCUCUACAUGCAUUUAUUGGCGGGGACAGAUCUCAUCCACGGUCACCUGAGAUAUAUCAAGAGCUGGAUAAUAUCCUGGUAGAUAUUAAUAAAUUGGGUUACCAGGCUGAUACCAGUUUUGUUCUGCAAGAUCUUGAGGAAGAGGAAAAGGAGAAGGCGCUUCUUUAUCACAGUGAAAAGCUAGCAAUAGCUUUUGGUGUCCUCACACUUAGUGAAGAUAAGACCAUUUUUGUUACGAAGAAUCUCCGUGUGUGUGGAGAUUGCCAUACUGUUAUCAAGUACAUGAGCUUAGUCAGGAGAAGGGAUAUAAUCGUCAGAGAUGCCAAUAGGUUUCAUCAUUUCAAGAAUGGGCAAUGCAGCUGUGGAGAUUUUUGGUGACAGCAAUACUACAGUCCGGUACAUGACCUCUCAGUUUUGUCUUGUAUCAGUCAUUCAGUUGCAUGCCUUGAAUAGUGGAGCAUUUAGAACUUAAACAGAAUGCCCUUUGAGGUGCCAAGUUUCUACGUUCCUGCAAGUUUUGCCCUCACAAAGGGUUAUCCAAAGUGAUGGUGUCAUGAAUUCAAAAUGAAAUCCGAAGGCAUGUAAAGGUGCUAUUCUUCCAAAUCAAACAAAUUCAGUAUAAUGAUGGUAUGAUCUAAACAAGAUCUGAUUCUGUAGGUUCCAAUUUGGAAACCAAGAUGACACUGAAUUGUUUUUGGCGUUGGUGCUUUCGCUCCAGGUCACAGGAAACUAUUAACAAUAUUACAAAGGAUUUGGUAAGCAAUCAAGCUAGAAUGACACAAAUAGAACUUCCAUUUCUAGUAGAAAUCCCAGAGGUACAUGCUUGGUAUCAUCAGUUGUAGAAUUCUGAACUAUCAGAUAUUGUCCAGUUGAUGAAAUGAAAUGGUGUCUCAAAUAUGAUCCUGUGCACUUCCCUAUCCUGGAGAUUAGAAAAGCCAAUGAGCAAGUGAAGUCAGGCUCUUAACCAUCAUAGCAGCUUAAUGCUACCUUCUUACUGCAAGAGAUCACAGUCAGGAACUUGAUCAGCGAGAAAUUCCUGGGAUCCCUGCGGCGACCCUAACUAUGAAGAGAAGGCGUGCAUUUGAGGCACAGCAGGAACAAGCUAUUAGAAAAUCUGAUCAUCAUUUCUUAAAUGCUUGUGCUUUUAUGCAUAAUUUUUCUCUAUGGGUCAGGGGUUGUUCCUCUAGUAGAUUCCAUGGCCCUAUUGGCGCUGGAGCCAAGGGGCAUCGCACUCCUCUCUCUUCUUUGAAUUCAUUCGGUGACAGAGCUUUCUGAAGAUGCCAUCAUGGCUUUCAUUUCUUCGAAGCAGUGUGUGCUGCAGGUGAUCCAUCAAAAUAUUUUCUCCCCCCUCAUUUUCUGCACGUGAUCUCUUCUCUUUUUUUGAGAGAGAAAAACUGCAGGUGAACUGUUCUUUCUGCACGUGGAUGGAGCAGAUUAUAUAUGGCCUUGGAAGCAAGCAUUCAGCAAGCCCGUCUAGCUCAGUUGGUAGAGCGCAAGGCUCUUAACCUUGUGGUCGUGGGUUCGAGCCCCACGGUGGGCGCAUUUCCUUUUUUGCUUGGUUCUUUUUUGUUCUGCUGCUAACAAAUUCUCCACUGAUUUUUGCCCAACAAAAAUGCCCUUCUCUGAUGCUCUGCUAACAAACUGCAUUUUCAUGCGUGCUGACUUGUUGGCAUGUACAACAAUGCAAAAAAAAAGGGGGUGAAUUUUCAGAUGUACAGUUAAGCCUGGUGAUCUAGCCAUAUAUCUUACUUUAUAUGUAUCCCAACAGGCACAGCAGGGGGUAUGGUACUGGGAGUUGGUGUUGGUCAUCCCACCAUCUGAAGCACAAACACCUGCAAACCCCAGUGGUUGUUGCAUCUGAACCCGGGAGCUGCUGCUGGGGUGUUCUUCUCCGUCUUUGUCAUCUCCGCCGCGGCUUUGGCGGCGACACACCAUCAAUCCUGUGGUGCACAAUGUCGUAGGCAUCGCCGGUCCGGUCCUGAGUCCUGACCUCCUGGGCGAGGGAGCAGGGGAAGCAGCACCAUCAGCAGGUGUCUUGUGAGUGCCACCACCUGCAACCAUAUUUCUUUCGACGGACGGGCUGCGAGGCCUUGACUGAAAUCAACACAAGCUUUUUUGUUCCCUUGAUUGAACUAUAUACUGGUAAGUGUAAUGUUACUUCUUUUCCGAAGAGCUGUUCACGUAAAUAAGGACUUGACGGAGCCAAAAAGAUGAUGAUGCACUUGUAGCUAAGACGGCCUCGGUUCUUCCCACUCGGCCUCGGUUCUUCCCACACAAAAAAAGGUUAUGAACUUGCCACUUAAUGAUGAUCUUGAAUUGUGCAAGUAGUGUAGAGCAACAGUCAGUGUAUAUAAGGUAGCUUUAGAUGAUUGAUUUUCCCAUGUAAACUGCAGUCAGUAUAUAUGUUCACAUAAACAUAGAUAAUAUCACACUGUAGUCCAGUAUGAGUGCCAAAUCUAUCUUCAUACUUGAGCAUUAUUAAGGGUUCGUCUCAGGAGAAAUAGACCUUGACGAAGGUGAUAUCUUUCGUCAUUGGAUAAGAUUGUCGUCCUCCAAACUCUGGCAUGGAUGAUCCACAUGUCCCUGGCUCCCGGCACCAUACUCGGGAUCACUAUUCCCUCAGGUGCUGGAAGUCCAAGCUCAUAAUCCAACAUGCCUAAACUAGAGAACAGGUGUUCGAACUAGCAACUAAUAUAUCUAGCUAGCUAACAAUGUACAGUAACAAUUAACUAUAACUAGCUAAUAUUUCCACACAUAUCCACAUUUUAACAAAAGAUAACAUUUGUGUACGACCAACUUCUUCUCAUUUUAGAAUUUCCUUUCAUUCUUUUCUCUGUACCGUUCUUUUAUUUUAUCAAUACUGCUAAACUCUACUACACAUUAAUUGACAUAUCUAUAUACAAAUUAAAAUGAUAUAUCCUCUACUCUCCUCUCAUCACCUCUUCUCCUCUCCUCUCACACUCUUCUCCUCUCCUCUCAUCCUCUUCGCCUCCUAGUGCCGGCGGAGAUUCUCUAGAGUUUAGACUACCUACAUAACCGGAGGGAGAAUCCAUGUGCUACCGUAAGGACUGCUCUUCACGAAGUAUCCUGUCGAUUUGAUCCUCUUCACGUCAUCGCUGCCUUUGUCCUCCUUUUCGUCGUCUCCCCUAUAAUAUGUCUGGUUGCUGAAGUCUUUUGAGAAGGUUCUUAACGCAUCACCGGCCACAAUAUCAUUUUGAUUCAAGCAGCACGAGUAAUAGAUGUGGUUUCUCUCCACAUGGCCACCUUUGUCAGCUGGCAAUCGCACCGCCUUAGAGAAGGUUCGCCCCAAGAACAAGGCAUGGUCGUCCAAGCUUGUAACCUCCAUCCACUUGUGCUUGUAAGACACUGCUGGUCCAUCGCCAUGGACGUCGAUGAGCUCAAACACCUUGAAGAAAGGUUCGUGGUCUCGUGACCACAAGCUUCUCAUCGCCAUUGCAAGCUUGCCGCGUAAAACAAAGAUGUAACUGGUUGUCGCCCCGAUGUAAUCCAUCAGGAAGGAGCAGCUGAGCCGGAUCUCGGCGGUGACCAUGGGCGCUCCAUCCUCGUUCACGCCUAUCUCGAACUUGAUGGCUUCCCCUUCGUACUUUGUGACGCCAUACAGCUCCCCAUUGCAAAACGUGAUGUCGUCCAUUGCCAUGCGGGAUUCAUAUCUUUGCCGCGUCCACACGCUGUUGGGACAGUUAACCCUGCAGAGCACGAUGCCAUGGUCCUCGGUCAUGGCGGCGAGGAUACAGUCAUCCGACACGGGCGACUUGGAGAACACAAUUUUGCUCUCAGAGAAGACCACCCACCACUCCUUGGGGAGCGCCACCUUGGCGCCGGAGAAGAGGUUGACGAUUUUGAGCGGUGCGGUUGAUAUGACCCAGCCGCCGUCAUGGCAGCCGACUAGCUGCCUGCUGCACCUCUUGGGGAGCCGGAGCCGCACGAUGGCGCCGUCCUCGGGGAUGUGCAGGUGCUUCGUCCUGCUGCAGUCGUAGGGUUCGAGGAGCAGCCACGGCAGCGCGGCGGCGGGCGGCGCCGCACGCGACGCGGCCCGCCACGACCGGCAGACGGCGGCGAAGCGCGCGCGGCCGCGCGGGGAGGCGACCAUGCCGUACACGACGGCGAGGAGGUCGUCUGGGAACGCGGACGACCAGCGCCGUGGCAUGAUCGUCUUCCCUCUACGCGCGCGCUUCCUUCUCCGUUCGUCGCCGUCGGCGGCGGCCAUCUGCGUCGGCGUCUUUAGUUUGACAAUCUAUCGUGGAGAGAAAGGAAAAUUAGGUUUGCUUUGUUUGUUGGGAAAUCGGUGCAUGCACGCUUAAUAAUCAACGCCGAUGUAAAAGGAAAAAGAAAACAGCCCUCCCGAAAUUAUAGUGAGUAUUCCACAAAUGACAUCAAGCAUUUAUAUAUAUAUAUAUAUAUAUAAAUAGUAUUUUUUCGGCAAAUAAUAUACGCCCAUAAUUUGUGCUACUCAGGUGCAUGACGCCUCUGUUCCUAAAUAUCAACCUGUUUAGAGAUUCCAACGCGGAGUACAUACGAAACAAAAUGAGUGAAUCUACACUCUAAAAUAUGUCUAUAUACAUCUGUAUGUAGUCUUUAUUCAAAUCUUUAAAAAGAUUUAUAUUUAGGAACGGAGGGAGUAGAAAUUAUAUCCCAUUACUUGUCGAAUUCCAUGGAAACGAAAAUACGGGAGUUUACAAAAGUGGCUAGAUCUUCGAUAUUCUGCUGAAAUAAUAAGGUUCACGUUAAUUAUUUCAUAAGAUUCAAACAAACUCUCACCGGCAAACACAAAAAAGAUUCAAACAAACUUAUGCUCGAAUUGGUUACUUAAAAAUUAACAAGAUUUUACUUGCAUGCUGAAACACCCAACAUAUAUGCACAGUACAUGAAAACACUUAAUUAGCCUGCAUUCCAUCUGCCCUCUUUAACAGUCUUUUCUUUUUCCGGGUUUGCAGACUUUCUUUUCAGUGUAAUUUAACAAAUAAGUAGCAAUUUUUCAUUUCAUUACAUUUCUUUGCAUUGGCAGUUUUUUUUUCAUUUGAAAGGGCAAAUGGGUGAAGGGAAAGGAUUGACCCUCAGGGUCAGAGAUCAUAUUACUCAAGAAGACCGGGGGGAAAUAUCAGGAUUGGAAAAGUUCGGAGAGACCGAGGAAGACAAAUCCAUUGUCGAAUCCUGCAGAGUGAUAACAUCGGGUAGUAGGGGCUCACUUCCACCCUUGACCUUGUUGAAGAUUCACACCACCAUCCACCUAUAUUAUGUAUUCUCCCUCAUGUUGAAGAUUCGCAUCCCGGCCAUCCACCUGAAUUCUCUGUAUUUUCCAUUUAUUGUCCUGCGUAAACCAAAUUACAUAUCUUCCAUGUGUGCUAGAAUAAAUAAUUUGUUUCAACGUUUACCACUCUUUCGAUGUUAUCUUCAAAAUAAACUCAAUAUUGAAAAUAAUUUAUGAAACCGGGUUGAAGCACAGUCGAACAUGAUUAAAGAUCUAGUUUCCCCUCCCCGAGUUACGGUUCCGGAGAGGGGAAAAGGAGGCGACUGAUGUUCCAUGCAUCCGCCGCUGGCUAGGCCGCAACGUCCCUCCCUCUUCGUACACUGCUCCUACGACGGGAGAGUGGGGGAGCCCUGGAUCUAUGGUUCUGACGCGCAGAUACUAUGGUAGGAGUUCCAGGCGGCGCUGUUCUGGUGGUGGAGGCGGCGCUGCAGAGGAAUAAAGUUGAUGGAGUUCCAUCCCCAUGCCGACAACAAGGUCACUUGUGGCGGAGUCGGGGAGCUUCUGGCGGUGUGUGCUCUCGGAUCUACGAAUUAGUGGAGCUUCGGUGCUCUAGGUAUGGUUGUUUCAGGUUCAAAGGGGGCGCAUGGAUCUAGGAUUUUGGCUUUAGCUUUGGCGGUCUUUUCACCAAGGCGAUGGUACAACGGGAUUGCUGCUUUGAUGACUCCCCGUUCACGAGAACAACAAGGUCAGCCUGACUUCGGUUUGGGAUGGCCAGCGGCGGCGAGCCAUCAACACAUCGGGGUGGGAAAAGAUGGCUAGUUCUGGAUGGACUGCGUUGUAAUUUCUUCUUUUCUUGAGGGGUGCUUUAUAAUGUUUGUGUUGAUUAAUAGAUUUGUUUUGAACAGGAUUAAUAGAUCUAUGGGCCUUUUCGCAAAAAAGGUGGCCAAUUACUUGAGUAUUCUUUAGAAAUAAUAAGAUUGAGAUCCAAACUCAUGUUGGAAUUCGAAAUCCCUAAGAAUUGGCUACAUAAAAUUCAACAAGUUUUUAUUACAUGGCAAUGGAUUUGAAAGGAUAUAGAUUCACACCACCAUAGUGUGCACUCAUACGAGACCUCCCAUAGUGGGGUAUAAUAGCAUAAUAGUAUCAUGCAAUCUCAUGCAAUGUCAACCAUGCAUAUUGCAGGGUUGUCAUAGCAUAGUUAGGAAAACGAGGAUAGUAGUAUCAUAACAUGAUACAGCGUCAUAUUAAAUGAGGGAGCUAAUAUCAGCCAUGCAAAAUAAUAAAUGAGGUCACUCAAGAUACCUAUGACAAUCUAUAUAUUGUAUAUCACAAAAGUUAUGCCAUUAGUAAAUACAACAUUUGAAGUUUCUAAUGACAUAUUUUUUGUGAUACACAACUCCUAUUACAUUAGUAAAAAAAUUAAUCUAGGGAUACGCAUAAGCCUUAUAAACCAGAAAGGAGCUAGAGUAUGCAGUAUGCAUGAAGACAAUAUCAUACACUGUUACUACCCACUGUGAGAGGUUUAACCUCCAUCGUGUUGGAGAUUUCCUCUGUAUUCUCCAUCAUGUUGGAGAUUCGCACCCAAUCCACCUUAUUUCUCUGUAUUUUCAGUUGCUAUCUUUUGAGCUCUCAUGGUAAGUGAUGCAAUUUUGCCCUAGUCUAGAAACAUGCUUCCUGGACCAAAAGAUUACAACCCACCAAAAUACUAGAGUAAAGAACGUGAAAAAACACCCCAUCAGUUAAAAUCUGCUUGCAUGAUCCUUAAGCAGUUUAGUAACUCGAAACUUGUAACUAUGUUCUUUUACGAAAUUUCCGUGGCAGGGUACAUCAAGUCCCAUGUUCAGAAAACACUCUCUCGCAUGAAAGUUUCACUUCUGUUGUGAAAAGCACAAUUCUCCGCAGUACUGCUCACAAUGCUCUGAAAUUGACCUUAAUAUUCAUAGCACUUUCGAAUAUAGUUGUUUUUUUUGUUUCUAUAUUCCAACAGUACCAAAGUACUAGGAGUAUGUAUUGUUCAUUCACAUUUUCCUUCAAAAAACACACGUGCCAAUCAAAGACCUAAAGCCUCAAUAUUGAAGUCACUCGACUCAUCUACUUUUCUGUUCCAUAUAUCUGUUUCCUCAUCAUUGGUUUCUAUCCAAAUAUCAUGAAAAUAUAACUUCUAUAACAUACAAUUAUUUUUGAUUCAAAUAUCCAUAUAUCUGUUUCCUUUCGAGAACGUUAAGUAAGAUGCGUUACUGGGAACAACGUCAUUUUGAUUCAAGCAAAAAGUGUAAUAGAUGUGGUUUCUCUCCACAUGGCCACGCUUGUUUGCUGGCACAAGCACCGCCUUAGAGAAGGUUCGCCCCAAGAACAAGGCGUGGUUGCCCAAGCUUGUGACCUCUGCCCACUUGUGCUGGUAAGAUGCUGCUACUUCAUGGUCAUGGUUGUCGACGAGCUCAAACACCUUGAAGAAAGGUUCGUUGUUUGGUGACCACAGGGUUGUCGCCGCCAUUGCAAGCUUGCCGUGUAAAACAAAGAUGUAACUGGUCUUCGCCCCGACGAAAUCCAACCAGAAGGAGCAGCUGAGCUGGAUCUCGGCAGCGACCACGGGAGCUCCAUCCUCAUUCAGGCCUAUCUCGAACUUGAUGACUUCCCGGCGAUACUCUGUGACGCCAUACAACUCGUCAUUGCAAAACGUGAUAUCCUGAAAUGUCCUGCUUGACCUACAUCUUUGUAUCGUCCAUGCGCUGUCCGGACAAUCAACCCUGCAGAGCGCGAUGGCACUAGACUCGGUCAUGGUGGCGAGGAUACAGUCACCUGAGGUGGGCGGCUUGGAGAAUAUAAUUCUGCUCUCGUGGAACACCCUCCAUGGCAUCUCAGGGAGUGCCACCUCGGCGCCGGAGAAGAGGUUGACCAUUCUGAGCGGCGCGGUUGAGAUGACCCAGCCGCCGUCGUGGCAGCCGAUGAGCCGCCUACUGCUCGGGAGCUGGAGCCGCAAGAUGGCGCCGUCCUCGGGGCAGUGCACGUGCUUCGUCCUGCUGCAGUCGCAGGUUUCGAGGAGCAGCCACGGCAGCGCGGCGGUGGGCGGCGCUGCUCGCGCAGCGGCCCGCCACGACCGGCAGACGGCGGCGAAGCGAGCACGGCCGCGCGGGGAGGCGACCAUGCCGUACACGACGGCGAGGAGGUCGUCUGGGAACGCGGACGACCAGCUCCGCCGCACGGCCGUCGCCCCUCUACGCCCGCGCCUCGCUUCCGGUUCGUCGCCGGCGGCGGUCAUCUGUGUCAACAAUCUGGGGUGGAGAAAAGCCAACGAGUUUGUGCGUGCGUCCUAGGUUUUCUUGUUUGUUGCGUACUUACUGCGGGCACGUACGAAUCAAUUAGAGAUCACCAAUAAUCUCUGGAAACAAAAAUGUGGUACGACCGGGUCAUACGUAGGCAAACAGGAGACCAGCGCGAGCGCAUGACAUCUGGUAUAGUACGAGUCUCAAAGGAAAUAUCACCUUAUCCCAAACUGAAGACCAGGUCCAACGUGUGAUCAAAUCCCUAGCGGCGACGAUCAACAAUGUACAUCUGCUCCAAAAGUUCAGAGCAUCUCUAAUAGAUGAUCUAAAUGCAUAAAUAACUAUAUUUUACAUCAUCAGAACUUAAAAACAUUGUUUGAACGAUUCAUAUAGAUGUAUAUGUAGAUUGAAUAGAACUAUUGUUUAUUGAUUAUUGCAGCCGCAUACAACAGUAUAUAUAAGAGAUUACAAGCCAACUAGACCUAUUACAAUACGACUAGGACUAGAUAACUUGAGAGCCAAGAAAUAGUCUAACAUCCCCCUGCAGUAUCAAUGGGAGGCUCGACAACGUGGAGACUGGAUCGAAUAUUACAAAAUGGUGUUGAUGGUAGUCCCUUGGUAAAAAUAUCAGCAAGUUGAGCCGUAGAAGGAACAUGCAGCACCCGAACUCGUCCAAGAGCCACCUUCUCGCGAACAAAAUCACUAGUAGAAAGGGGGGCAUUAGUCCCGGUUCAUAAGGGCCUUUAGUCCCGGUUCAUGAACCGGGACUAAUGGGUCGUUACUAAUACCUCCACCCUUUAGUCCCGGUUCAAACACGAACCGGGACAGAUGUGCCUCCACGUGGCCGGUGCGCCGAGCCCAGUCAGGGGGACCGAAAGUCCAUGUUUUUCUUUUUUUUUUUUAAAAAAAAGUGGCUGCUAGGGGUUUUGGGGGUUAUUUUUACGUUGUUAUUAGCUAGCUAAUAGAGAGAAGUGUCCUCUCUUAUAUCUUCGUCCUUGGUUUACCAACGCUGCUGCUAUUGUUCAUUUCACCCGCUGAUAUAAUAACUCAUGCAUGCUCGCAUCAUACAUCAUCAUAUAUAAUAACAAGUCCUACUAAUCAUGCAUCAUCAUACAACUUCUACUCGUUAUUAAUAAUAAGUCAUACGAUCAUCAUCCUCAUAGUCAUCGAACCCAACCCUACAUAAUUGUUCUUAGCACAUGAUCAUCAGUAUCAGGUAGGACCUAAACACCCUUAAGGUAAAAUAGCAUAAAACAAUAUAGACCCUGACUCUCCAUUAUGAAGAAUGGCGAUUAUCCUAUCUCCAAUUCUUGCCCUUCGCUGCCUUUUGAUUCCAAGAAGCUCCUUACGACUGUCCAUACAUUUUUUUCCAUUCUUUGAUUGUCAUGUCUCCACUUCUUUUAGAAACCCGGUAUGGACAGUUGAGAUUCGUAGGAAGACCUGGUUGUAUGUUCAAAACAUGAAGGGUACCGUGCGUAUACAUCAGAUGAGGCACACAAUCAUUCGGUAUUAUCUGCUGAAAAAUAUAGUAAUAACUUCGUAGUUAGCAAUGAUGUACUAGUUUUAGAAGUGUGCAAAAAGAUGCACUGAUGUCGUAAUAGUAAAAAAUCUUACCAGGGUAUCUCCAUGGUAGUUACCGUAGUUCAACACAUGCACUAGUGGCACGUAUUGACCAUAAUGUUGAGGAGUUUGAUUGUAGAUAUUGUAAUUCUUAAGAUCAGUAGAAAAUGCGACCAGAUGAUUUUUCUCCUGAUAAGUUAAUUCGGAGCCUUCGGUGUAGUAGGUUCUGUCUACCAUCUUCCGCACAUUCUUUGAAGAAUGAAAAUAAGCUGUCAAUGGAAAUAAGUUGUCAACUAUUUUGAAAUAAACAAUAUAAAUUACUUAAUAACUAUGUUAAGCUCACAUGGGGGAAGAAUUGGAGGUGUAUCCACAAGGACCCAAAUCGAAGGUCUCUCUUGCUCGAUUGUAGGAUCACCAAGAUCCAUGGUGACAAGCAUACCCUCAUCAAAAUCAUACAUCUUGCAAAGUGCUUCCCAAUUUUUGCAACCAAAAUGGGUUGCACUCUGAGCAUUGUACAACUUUACUUGAAAAUCCACACCAUGAUGGGUACUUAGGAUAAUUUUUUUGGUUUCCAUACUUUCAUGGUCUUCAAAACCCAUCCUCUCCAAGACAUAGCGUCUUGCAUAGCAUGGGAUAAGCUAGUCGAAUUGGAAAAGAUGAAAAAAUACACGUUAAAAUAGUUGAAGUCAUGCUUAAUUACGAAAAAAACUAUUGUCGUCGUUGCGUACCGUAUGAACAUCGAAGGUCUCCUCGAGCUUAAUGCUAAAGCGCCGAUCUUGUCCAGCUCAAUGAAUCUGUCGCACAUACCCCGAUCGUCGUGGCACCAGUCGCACUCCCCCAGGCGGUUUUCUUCGUCCGAGUACGACAUUUCCGGCCUAUGUUCAUAAUUCAAAUAUUAAACUAGAUCAUUAUUAUUAAUCACGGGUUGACUAUCGGUGAUGUAAGUAGCUCUUCCUUUCAUUCCCGAGUGCAUUAUUACACCAAAUUGUCUAGCACACGGGAAUGAAGGACAACUUAUCCAAUAUGAGCAUUCAAUAGGCAAAACCAAAUCAUAAAAUAAGAAAAACCAAAUCAUAAAAUAAAGUAGUAUUCAAAUUAGCAUGCAUUCAAUAAUUAUAAGCAAAAGUACAUCAUCUCUUGGUGUCUGUACAUCGUCGAAUAUUAUCACUAAUAUAGCAUCACUAAUACAACUAGAACCGUAGCGCCCGACGGGUAUCGUCGCGGGCGAUGGACACCCAAAGAUAAGGAACCAUCAUAGGAUCAUAGCUCCAGUGAGAUCCCUGAAGAACCUACCAGGUAUUGUCGAACCUGCCCUCCAAUGCAACCAUGUAGCGACGGACGUGCUCGUCCUCCUUGCUGACACGGUGACGUACCACCUCCGCGGUGUCCGGAAGCCUCAACACCAUCACUGGCCCACGCGACCGCCACCAAACAAGGAUCGGGUCAACAACGGGCUGCCUCCUCACCAACCUACGUCCCCGGAAGGUAGCACCUCCCAAUACCAGCCCGGCGGAGCCCAGUCCCGAACAUGGCCCUGAUCAAGCAGGCCUCCACCGCCGAGUCGACGACGACGAGGAUGCGGGAUAGGCAUCGCCUACGUCGAUGCGGGAACUACUUCUAUAUAUAGUUAAACAAAGUAGUUUUAUUAAUUAAAUCAACUAGCUAGUUCAACUACUAAGCACUUACUAUAAAUAAAUAAAGUACUACUUACUAAAAACAAACUACUUCUAUAUAUAGUAAAAUAAAGUAGUUUAUUAAAUCAACUAGCUAGUUCAACUAUAUAUGAAGCACUUACUAUAAAUAAAAUAAAAUAGUACUUACUAAAAAUAAACUGGUAUUUUUCUAACUAAUUAUAUUAAACACUUUCUCUUCUUAUUUUUUUCCUUUUUCUAAAUACUAUGGACAAAAAAAUCAUUAAAAUUCUAUGAACAAAAUUAUGAACAGAAAAAAAUCAUAAAAAUUUGACAUAUUCGAUCUUUGCAUAUAUAUGAACAUACAAACAUGCAUANNNNNNNNNNNNNNNNNNNNNNNNNNNNNNNNNNNNNNNNNNNNNNNNNNNNNNNNNNNNNNNNNNNNNNNNNNNNNNNNNNNNNNNNNNNNNNNNNNNNNNNNNNNNNNNNNNNNNNNNNNNNNNNNNNNNNNNNNNNNNNNNNNNNNNNNNNNNNNNNNNNNNNNNNNNNNNNNNNNNNNNNNNNNNNNNNNNNNNNNNNNNNNNNNNNNNNNNNNNNNNNNNNNNNNNNNNNNNNNNNNNNNNNNNNNNNNNNNNNNNNNNNNNNNNNNNNNNNNNNNNNNNNNNNNNNNNNNNNNNNNNNNNNNNNNNNNNNNNNNNNNNNNNNNNNNNNNNNNNNNNNNNNNNNNNNNNNNNNNNNNNNNNNNNNNNNNNNNNNNNNNNNNNNNNNNNNNNNNNNNNNNNNNNNNNNNNNNNNNNNNNNNNNNNNNNNNNNNNNNNNNNNNNNNNNNNNNNNNNNNNNNNNNNNNNNNNNNNNNNNNNNNNNNNNNNNNNNNNNNNNNNNNNNNNNNNNNNNNNNNNNNNNNNNNNNNNNNNNNNNNNNNNNNNNNNNNNNNNNNNNNNNNNNNNNNNNNNNNNNNNNNNNNNNNNNNNNNNNNNNNNNNNNNNNNNNNNNNNNNNNNNNNNNNNNNNNNNNNNNNNNNNNNNNNNNNNNNNNNGGCGGCGGCGGCGUCGGGGCGGCAGGGGACGGCGGCGUCGGGAGAGGAGGAGGAGAGAUCGAAGUGGGGAUAGCGGUUCUGAAAUUUUUCGAAGUGCUCCUUAUAUAGCAAAGGCUUUGGUUCCGGUUCAUGGCAAAAACCGGGACUAAUGCCGCCUUUAGUCCCGGUUGGUGCGACCAACCGGGACCAAAGGCCUCUUUUCAGCAGCCCAAAGGGCGGGAAACAAAGACCUUUGGUCCCGGUUGGUGGCUUCAACCGGGACAAAAGAGGGGCAUUGGUCCCGGUUGGUGCCACCAACCGGGACUAAAGAGAGGCAUUGGUACCGGUUGGUGCCACCAACCGGUACCAAUGCACCUGUCUAAUUACUUAUUUAUUUUCUGCAGCUGUUUUUUAGUUGAUUCUUUCUGCAGCUGUUUUAAAUUAGUCCCACCUCGCCAAGCGAGAGGCACUCGCAGCGGUUUAUAAGCCCUGAGUGUAGAGACGAUGAAGAAGAGGCUCAAUGCUCAUCUGCACGUUGCUUAGCUUCAAGCCUUGAGGAUUAGGGUAGACUGCACGGAGCUAUGUGCAGUGCAGUUUACACUAUUCCGAAAGGCUUGAAGCUAAUUAACGAGCAUUGCGCCUCUUUUAUAUUUUUAAUGACUUAUUACAACUCAGAAAUAAAUAGAAAAAAAAUAAAUAUAGCAGAAAAGAAAAAAAACUAUAUAAAAAACUACUCAGAAAUAAAUAGAAGAAAAAAUAGUUGUGAUUAACUUUACUAAAAAAAUGAGCAUAGAUGCUUAUUUUUAAUGACUUAUUACAAUUCAGAAAUAAAUAGAAGAAAAAAUAGUUGUGAUUAACUUUACUAAAAAAAUGAGCAUAGAUGCUUAUUUUUAAUGACUUAUUACAACUCAGAAAUAAAUAGAAGAAAAAAUAUUUGUGAUUUGUGAUUAACUUUACAAAAAAAUGAGCAUANNNNNNNNNNNNNNNNNNNNNNNNNNNNNNNNNNNNNNNNNNNNNNNNNNNNNNNNNNNNNNNNNNNNNNNNNNNNNNNNNNNNNNNNNNNNNNNNNNNNNNNNNNNNNNNNNNNNNNNNNNNNNNNNNNNNNNNNNNNNNNNNNNNNNNNNNNNNNNNNNNNNNNNNNNNNNNNNNNNNNNNNNNNNNNNNNNNNNNNNNNNNNNNNNNNNNNNNNNNNNNNNNNNNNNNNNNNNNNNNNNNNNNNNNNNNNNNNNNNNNNNNNNNNNNNNNNNNNNNNNNNNNNNNNNNNNNNNNNNNNNNNNNNNNNNNNNNNNNNNNNNNNNNNNNNNNNNNNNNNNNNNNNNNNNNNNNNNNNNNNNNNNNNNNNNNNNNNNNNNNNNNNNNNNNNNNNNNNNNNNNNNNNNNNNNNNNNNNNNNNNNNNNNNNNNNNNNNNNNNNNNNNNNNNNNNNNNNNNNNNNNNNNNNNNNNNNNNNNNNNNNNNNNNNNNNNNNNNNNNNNNNNNNNNNNNNNNNNNNNNNNNNNNNNNNNNNNNNNNNNNNNNNNNNNNNNNNNNNNNNNNNNNNNNNNNNNNNNNNNNGAUGCUUAUUUUUAAUGACUUAUUACAACUCAGAAAUAAAUAGAAGAAAAAAUAGUUGUGAUUAACUUUACUAAAAAAAUGAGCAUAGAUGCUUAUUUUUAAUGACUUAUUACAACUCAGAAAUAAAAAGAAAAAAAUAGAUAUAGCAGAAAAUAAAAAAAAUAUAAAAAACUACUCAGAAAUAAAUAGAAGAAAAAAUAGUUGUGAUUAACUUUACUAAAAAAAUGAGCAUAGAUGUGCUUAUAGAGAAAAUUCAACUUAAAUUCAUAAUAAAUUUCUACUAACUUCAGAGAAAUUCAGUAUGAAUUUAGGUCAAAUUCCCUAUAUAAGGGCAUCUAUUUUCAUUUUGAGAGGAGCUCAACAAGGCAGAGAGGGAGGGGGCUUAUAAACCGGUGUGAGCCCCCUUCGGUUGGCGAGGUAGGACUAAACUCUGGCCGCAAUGAGGACCAACCCUUUAGUCCCGGUUCGUGGCAUGAACCGGGACUAAUGGGCAGCCUUUGGUCCCGGUUCAUGCCACCAACCGGGACCAAUAGUGGUGGGCCAGGAGCAAGGACCAUUGGUCCCGGUUUGUCCCUCCAACCGGGACCAAAAGGUCCAGACAAACCGGGACCAAUGGCCUACAUGGCCCGGCCGGCCCCCGGGGCUCACGAACCGGGUCCAAUGCCCACAUUGGUCCCGGUUUUGGACUGAACCGGGACCAAUGGGCUGGCCCUGCCUGGACCAUUGCCCCCUUUUCUACUAGUGAAUGGAUAUCAAUCUCAAUAUGUUUAGUCCGGCGAUGUUGAAAAGGAUUCCCGGACAUGUAAACAGCUGACAUGUUAUCACAAUAAACAAUGGUAGCUUGUGCAAGCGGUCGAUGUUGGGGAACGUUGCAGAAAAUUAAAAAAUUUCCUACGGUUUCACCAAGAUCCAUCUAUGAGUUCAUCCAAGCAACGAGUCAUGGGAGAGAGUUUGCAUCUACAUACCACUUGUAGAUCACGUGCGGAAGCUUGCAAGGUGAUGAUGGAGUCGUACUCGACGUGAUUCAGAUCACCGAUGUCCAAGUGCUGAACGGACAGCACCUCCGCAUUCAACACACGUACGAGACGGGAGACGUCUCCUCCUUCUUGAUCCAGCAAGGGGGAAGGAGAGGUUGAGGAAGCUCGCUCCAACGGCAGCACGACGGCGUGGUGAUGUUGGUGCAGCAGUACUCCGACAGGGCUUCGCCAAGCGCUUAACGGAGGAGGAGAGGUGUUGGGGAGGGGAGGGGCUGCGCCUUGGAGUUGUGUACAGCAGCCCUCCCCUCACCCCUCUAUUUAUAGGGGAAGGGGCAAGGGGGGCCGACCCCUCUAGAUGGGAUCUAGAGGGGGGGCGGCGGCCAGGGAGGGAAGGCUUGCCCCCCAAGCAAGGGGGGCGCCCCCCUUAGGGUUUCCCCCCCCCCAACGCUAGGUGCAUGGGCCCAAGGUGGGGGGCGCGCCCAGCCCUCUAGGGGCUGGCUCCCUCCCCUUUGCGGCCCAUGUGGCCCUCCGGGAGGGGUGGCCCCUCCCGGUGGACCCCCGGAACCCCUCCGGUGGUCCCGGUACAUUACCAAUAGACCCCCGAAACUUUCCGGUGUCCGUAUGACAACUUCCCAUAUAAAAAACUUCACCUCCGGACCAUUCCGGAACUCCUCGUGACGUCCGGGAUCUCAUCCGGGACUCCGAACAACAUUCGGUAGUCACAUACUAGUCUUCCUAAUAACCCUAGCGUCACCGAACCUUAAGUGUGAAGACCCUACGGGUUCGGGAGACAUGCAGACAUGACCGAGACCACUCUCCGGUCAAUAACCAACAGCGGGAUCUGGAUACCCAUGUUGGCUCCCACAUGCUCCUCGAUGAUUUCAUCGGUUGAACCACGAUGUCGAGGAUUCGAUUAAACCCUGUAUGCAAUUCCCUUUGUCAAUCGGUACGUUACUUGCCCGAGACUCGAUCGUCGGUAUCCCAAUACCUUGUUCAGUCUCGUUACCGGCAAGUCACUUUACUCGUACCAUAAUGCAUGAUCCCGUGGCUAACACCUUGGUCACCUUGAGCUCAUUAUGAUGAUGCAUUACCGAGUGGGCCCAGAGAUACCUCUCCGUCAUACGGAGUGACAAAUCCCAGUCUCGAUCCGUGUCAACCCAAUAGACACUUUCGGAGGUACCUGUAGUGCACCUUUAUAGUCACCCAGUUACAUUGUGACAUUUGAUACACCCAAAGCACUCCUACGAUAUCCAGGAGUUACACGAUCUCAUGGUCGAAGGAAGAGAUACUUGACAUUGGCAAAGCUCUAGCAAACGAACUACACGAUCUUUGUGCUAUGCUUAGGAUUGGGUCUUGUCCAUCACAUCAUUCUCCUAAUGAUGUGAUCCCGUUAUCAACGACAUCCAAUGUCCAUAGCCAGGAAACCAUGACUAUCUAUUGAUCACAACGAGCUAGUCAACUAGAGGCUCACUAGGGACAUAUUGUGGUCUAUGUAUUCACACGUGUAUUACGAUUUCCAGAUAAUACAGUUAUAGCAUGAAUAAAAGACAAUUAUCAUGAACAAUGAAAUAUAAUAAUACUUUUAUUAUUGCCUCUAGGGCAUAUUUCCAACAGUCUCCCACUUGCACUAGAGUCACCAAUCUAGUUACAUUGUGAUGAAUCGAACACCCAUAGAGUUCUGGUGUUGAUCAUGUUUUGCUCGCGAGAGAGGUUUAGUCAACGGAUCUGCGAUAUUCAGAUCCGUAUGUACUUUGCAAAUUUCUAUGUCUCCAUCUUGAACAUUUUCACGGAUGGAGUUGAAACGACGCUUGAUGUGCCUGGUCUUCUUGUGAAACCUGGGCUCCUUGGCAAGGGCAAUAGCUCCAGUGUUGUCACAGAAGAGUUUGAUUGGCCCCGACGCAUUGGGUAUGACUCCUAGGUCGGUGAUGAACUCCUUCACCCAAAUCGCUUCAUGCGCUGCCUCCGAGGCUGCCAUGUACUCCGCUUCACACGUAGAUCCCGCCACGACGCUCUGCUUGCAGCUGCACCAGCUUACUGCUCCACCAUUCAACAUAUACACGUAUCCGGUUUGUGACUUGGAGUCAUCCAGAUCUGAGUCAAAGCUAGCGUCGACGUAACCCUUUACGACGAGUUCUUCGUCUCCUCCAUAAACGAGAAACAUGUCCUUUGUCCUUUUCAGGUACUUCAGGAUAUUCUUGACCGUUGUCCAGUGCUCCUUGCCGUGAUUACUUUGGUAUCUUGCUACCAAACUUACGGCAAGGUUUACAUCAGGUCUGGUACACAGCAUGGCAUACAUAAUAGAUCCUAUGGCUGAAGCAUAGGGGAUGACACUCAUCUCUUCUUUAUCUUUUGCCGUGGUCGGUGACUGAGCCGAGCUCAAUCUCACACCUUGUAACAUAGGCAAGAACCCUUUCUUGGAAUGAUCCAUUUUGAACCUUUUCAAAAUCUUAUCAAGGUAUGUGCUUUGUGAAAGACCUAUGAGGCGUCUCGAUCUAUCUCUAUAGAUUUUGAUGCCUAAUAUAUAAGCAGCUUCUCCAAGGUCCUUCAUUGAAAAACACUUAUUCAAGUAGGCCUUAAUGCUGUCCAGAAGUUCUAUAUUAUUUCCCAUCAAGAGUAUGUCAUCUACAUACAAUAUGAGAAAUGCUACAGAGCUCCCACUCACUUUCUUGUAAACGCAGGCUUCUCCAUAAGUCUGCAUAAACCCAAACGCUUUGAUCAUCUCAUCAAAGCGAAUGUUCCAACUCCGAGAUGCUUGCACCAGUCCAUAAAUGGAUCGCUGGAGCUUGCAUACUUUGUUAGCGUUUUUAGGAUCGACAAAACCUUCCGUCUGCAUCAUAUACAGCUCUUCCUUAAGGUGUCCGUUGAGGAAUGCCGUUUUGACGUCCAUCUGCCAUAUCUCAUAAUCAUAGUAUGCGGCAAUUGCUAACAUAAUUCGGAUGGACUUCAGCUUCGCUACGGGAGAGAAUGUCUCGUCGUAGUCAAUCCCUUGAACUUGUCGAUAACCCUUAGCGACAAGUCGAGCCUUAUAAAUGGUAACAUUACCAUCCGCGUCCGUCUUCUUCUUAAAAAUCCAUUUAUUUUCUAUCGCUCGCCGAUCAUCGGGCAAGUCUGUCAAAGUCCAUACUUUGUUUUCAUACGUGGAUUCUAUCUCGGAUCUCAUGGCUUCAAGCCAUUUGUUGGAAUCUGGGCCCGCCAUUGCUUCUUCAUAGUUCGAAGGUUCACCGUUGUCUAACAACAUGAUUUCCAGGACAGGGUUGCCGUACCACUCUGGUGCGGAACGUGUCCUUGUGGACCUACGAAGUUCAGUAGCAACUUGAUCCGAAGUACCUUGAUCAUCAUCAUUGGUUUCCUCUUCAGUUGGCGUGGGCAUCACAGGAACAGUUUCCUGAGCUGCACCACUUUCCCGUUCGAGAGGUAGUACUUCAUCGAGUUCUACUUUCCUCCCACUUACUUCUUUCGAGAGAAACUCUUCUUCCAGAAAGCAUCUGUUCUUGGCAACAAAGAUCUUGCCCUUGGAUCUUAAGUAGAAGGUAUACCCGACAGUUUCCUUAGGGUAUCCUAUGAAGACGCAUUUUUCCGACUUGGGUUUGAGCUUUUCAGGUUGAAGUUUCUUGACAUAAGCAUCGCAUCCCCAAACUUUUAGAAACGACAGCUUAGGUUUCUUCCCAAACCAUAAUUCAUACGGUGUCGUCUCAACGGAUUUAGACGGUGCCCUAUUUAAAGUGAAUGUAGCUGUCUCUAGAGCGUAUCCCCAAAAUGAUAGCGGUAAAUCGGUAAGAGACAUCAUAGACCGCACCAUAUCCAAUAGAGUGCGAUUACGACGUUCGGACACACCGUUUCGCUGAGGUGUUCCAGGCGGCGUGAGUUGUGAAACGAUUCCGCAUUUCUUUAAGUGUGUACCAAAUUCGUGACUUAAGUAUUCUCCUCCACGAUCUGAUUGUAGGAACUUUAUCUUUCGGUCACGUUGAUUCUCUACCUCAUUCUGAAAUUCCUUGAACUUUUCAAAGGUCUCAGACUUGUGUUUCAUUAAGUAGACAUACCCAUAUCUACUUAAGUCAUCAGUGAGAGUGAGAACAUAACGAUAUCCUCCGCGAGCCUCAACGCUCAUUGGACCGCACACAUCGGUAUGUAUGAUUUCCAACAAGUUGGUUGCUCGCUCCAUUGUUCCGGAGAACGGAGUCUUGGUCAUUUUGCCCAUGAGGCAUGGUUCGCAUGUGUCAAACGAUUCAUAAUCAAGAGACUCUAAAAGUCCAUCAGCAUGGAGCUUCUUCAUGCGCUUGACACCAAUGUGACCAAGGCGGCAGUGCCACAAGUAUGUGGGACUAUCGUUAUCAACUUUACAUCUUUUGGCAUCCACACUAUGAACAUGUGUAAUAUUACGCUCGAGAUUCAUUAAGAAUAAACCAUUGACCAUCGGAGCAUGACCAUAAAACAUAUCUCUCAUAUAAAUCGAACAACCAUUAUUCUCAGACUUAAAUGAGUAGCCAUCUCAUAUUAAACGAGAUCCAGAUACAAUGUUCAUGCUCAAACUUGGCACUAAAUAACAAUUAUUAAGGUUCAAAACUAAUCCCGUGGGUAAAUGUAGAGGCAGCGUGCCGACGGCGAUCACAUCGACUCUGGAACCAUUCCCGACGCGCAUUGUCACCUCGUCCUUUGCCAGUCUCCGUUUAUUCCGCAGCUCCUGCUGUGAGUUACAAAUAUGAGCAACGGCACUGGUAUCAAAUACCCAGGAGUUACUACGAGUACUGGUAAGGUACACAUCAAUUACAUGUAUAUCAAAUAUACCUUUGAUGUUGCCGGCCUUCUUAUCCGCUAAGUAUUUGGGGCAGUUCCGCUUCCAGUGACCCUUCCCUUUGCAAUAAAAGCACUCAGUCUCAGGCUUGGGUCCAUUCUUUGACUUCUUCCCGGUAACUGGCUUACCGGGAGCGGCAACAUCCUUGCCGUCCUUCUUGAAGUUCUUCUUGCCCUUGCCCUUCUUGAACUUAGUGGUCUUAUUGACCAUCAACACUUGAUGUUCUUUCUUGAUUUCAGCCUCUGCUGACUUCAGCAUUGAGAACACUUCAGGAAUGGUCUUCACCAUCCCCUACAUGUUGUAGUUCAUCACAAAGCUCUUGUAGCUUGGUGGGAGCGACUGGAGGAUUCUGUCAAUGACCGCCUCAUCUGGGAGGUUAAUGUUCAGCUGGGUCAUACGGUUGUGCAACCCAGACAUCUUUAGGAUGUGCUCACUUACAGAACUUUUUUCCUCCAUCUUACAACUGUAGAACUUGUCGGAGACAUCAUAUCUCUCGACCCAGGCAUGAGCUUGAAAAACUAGUUUCAGCUCUUCGAACAUCUCAUAUGCUCUGUGAUGCUCAAAACGCUUUUGGAGCCCUGGUUCUAAGCUGUAAAGCAUGCCGCACUGAACGAGGGAGUAAUCAUCAGCACGAGUUUGCCAAGCAUUCAUAAUGUCUUGGUUCUCUGGGACGGGAGCGUCACCUAGCGGUCCAUCUAGGACAUAUUGCUUCCUGGCAGCUAUGAGGAUGAUCCUCAGGUUCCGGACCCAGUCCGUAUAGUUGCUGCCAUCAUCUUUCAGCUUGGUUUUCUCUAGGAACGCGUUGAAGUUCAUGUUGACCUGAGCGUUGGCCAUUUGAUCUACAAGACAUAUUUGCAAAGGUUUUAGACUAAGUUCAUGAUAAUUAAGUUCUAAUCAAAUUAUGAACUCCCACUCAGAUUAGACAUCCCUCUAGUCAUCCAAGUGUUACACGAUCCGAGUCGACUAGCCCGUGUCCGAUCAUCACGUGAGACGGACUAGUCAUCGUCGGUGAACAUCUUCAUGUUGAUCGUAUCUUCCAUACGAUUCGUGUUCGACCUUUCGGUCUCCGUGUUCCGAGGCCAUGUCUGUACAUGCUAGGCUCGUCAAGUUAACCCUAAGUGUUAUUGCUGUGUAAAACUGUCUUACACCCGUUGUAUGUGAACGUAAGAAUCCAUCACACCCGAUCAUCACGUGGUGCUUAGAAGCGACGAACUGUAGCAACGGUGCACAGUUAGGGGAGAACACUUCUUGAAAUUUUUGUAAGGGAUCAUCUUAUUUACUACCGUCGUCCUAAGUAAACAAGAUGUAUAAACAUAAUAAACAUCACAUGUAAUUAUAUAGUUGUGACAUGACAUGGCCAAUAUCAUAUAGCUCCAUUGAUCUCCAUCUUCGGGGCUCCAUGAUCAUCUUGUCACCGGCUUGACACCAUGAUCUCCAUCAUCGUGUCUUCAUGAAGUUGUCACGCCAACGACUACUUCUACUUCUAUGGCUAACGCGUUUAGCAAUAAAGUAAAGUAGUUUACAUGGCGUUCUUCAAUGACACGCAGGUCAUACAAAAAAUAAAGACAACUCCUAUGGCUCCUGCCGGUUGUCAUACUCAUCGACAUGCAAGUCGUGAAUCCUAUUACAAGAACAUGAUCUCAUACAUCACAAUUCAUCAUUCAUCACAACUUCUGGCCAUAUCACAUCACAUGAUCAAUCGCUGCAAAAACAAGUUAGACGUCCUCUAAUUGUUGUUGCAUCUUUUACGUGGCUGCAAUUGGGUUCUAGCAAGAACGUUUUCUUACCUACGAAUAACCACAACGUGAUUUUGUCAACUUCUAUUUACCCUUCAUAAGGACCCUUUUCAUCGAAUCCGCUUCAACUAAAGUGGGAGAGAUAGACACCCGCCAGCCACCUUAUGCAACUAGUGCAUAUCAGUCGGUGGAACCGGUCUCACGUAAGCGUACGUGUAAGGUUGGUCCGGGCCGCUUCAUCCCACAAUACCGCUGAAGCAAGAUAAGACUAGUAGUGUCAAGCAAGUUGACAAGAUCCACGCCCACAACAAAAUUGUGUUCUACUCGUGCAUUAGAGAACUACGCAUAGACCUAGCUCAUGAUGCCACUGUUGGGGAACGUUGCAGAAAAUUAAAAUUUUUCCUACGGUUUCACCAAGAUCCAUCUAUGAGUUCAUCCAAGCAACGAGUCAUGGGAGAGAGUUUGCAUCUACAUACCACUUGUAGAUCACGUGCGGAAGCUUGCAAGGUGAUGAUGGAGUCGUACUCGACAUGAUUCAGAUCACCGAUGUCCAAGUGCUGAACGGACAGCACCUCCGCGUUCAACACACGUACGGGACGGGAGACGUCUCCUCCUUCUUGAUCCAGCAAGGGGGAAGGAGAGGUUGAGGAAGCUCGCUCCAACUGCAGCACGACGGCGUGGUGAUGUUGGUGCAGCAGUACUCCGACAGGGCUUCGCCAAGCGCUUAAUGGAGGAGGAGAGGUGUUGGGGAGGGGAGGGGCUGCACCUUGGAGUUGUGUACAGCAGCCCUCCCCUCACCCCUCUAUUUAUAGGGGAAGGGGCAAGGGGGGCCGACCCCUCUAGAUGGGAUCUAGAGGGGGGGCGGCGGCCAGGGAGGGAAGGCUUGCCCCCCAAGCAAGGGGGGCGCCCCCCUUNNNNNNNNNNNNNNNNNNNNNNNNNNNNNNNNNNNNNNNNNNNNNNNNNNNNNNNNNNNNNNNNNNNNNNNNNNNNNNNNNNNNNNNNNNNNNNNNNNNNNNNNNNNNNNNNNNNNNNNNNNNNNNNNCAAGGUGGGGGGCGCGCCCAGCCCUCCAGGGGCUGGCUCCCUCCCCUUUGCGGCCCAUGUGGCCCUCCGGGAGGGGUGGCCCCUCCCGAUGGACCCCCGGAACCCCUCCGGUGGUCCCGGUACAUUACCGAUAGACCCCCGAAACUUUCCGGUGUCCGUAUGACAACUUCCCAUAUAUAAUACUUCACCUCCGGACCAUCCCGGAACUCCUCGUGACGUCUGGGAUCUCAUCCGGGACUCCGAACAACAUUCGGUAGUCACAUACUAGUCUUCCUAAUAACCCUAGCGUCACCGAACCUUAAGUGUGAAGACCCUAUGGGUUCGGGAGACAUGCAGACAUGACCGAGACCACUCUCCGGUCAAUAACCAACAGCGGGAUCUGGAUACCCAUGUUGGCUCCCACAUUCUCCUCGAUGAUUUCAUCGGUUGAACCACGAUGUCGAGGAUUCGAUUAAACCCUGUAUGCAAUUCCCUUUGUCAAUCGGUACGUUACUUGCCCGAGACUCGAUUGUCGGUAUCCCAAUACCUUGUUCAGUCUCGUUACCGGCAAGUCACUUUACUCGUACCGUAAUGCAUGAUCCCGUGGCCAACACCUUGGUCACCUUGAGCUCAUUAUGAUGAUGCAUUACCGAGUGGGCCCAGAGAUACCUCUCCGUCAUACGGAGUGAUAAAUCCCAGUCUCGAUCCGUGUCAACCCAAUAGACACUUUCGGAGGUACCUGUAGUGCACCUUUAUAGUCACCCAGUUACGUUGUGACGUUUGAUACACCCAAAGCACUCCUACGAUAUCCAGGAGUUACACGAUCUCAUGGUCGAAGGAAGAGAUACUUGACAUUGGCAAAGCUCUAGCAAACGAACUACACGAUCUUUGUGCUAUGCUUAGGAUUGGGUCUUGUCCAUCACAUCAUUCUCCUAAUGAUGUGAUCCCGUUAUCAACGACAUCCAAUGUCCAUAGCCAGGAAACCAUGACUAUCUAUUGAUCACAACGAGCUAGUCAACUAGAGGCUCACUAGGGACAUAUUGUGGUCUAUAUAUUCACACGUGUAUUACGAUUUCCAGAUAAUACAGUUAUAGCAUGAAUAAAAGACAAUUAUCAUGAACAAUGAAAUAUAAUAAUACUUUUAUUAUUGCCUCUAGGGCAUAUUUCCAAUAGUCGAUGCAACUCCAAGAGCAACUGACGAAGCCGGACCGUAUCAGCCAUAGCAUGUGCAACCGCACGAUAUUCAGCUUCAGCAGACGAGCGGGAGACGGUUACCUGCCUUUUCGAGGACCAAGAAAUCAAAUUGUCACCAAGAAAAACACAGAAACCGGAUGUAGAUCGUCGAGUGUCGGGACAACCAGCCCAGUCUGCAUCAGAAUACGCGGUGAGAGAGGUAGGGGAAGAAUUGUUUAUGUGGAGACCAUGGUCGAGAGUACCUUUGAGAUACCUAAGGAUGCGCUUGAUAUGAUUAUAGUGAGGUAUGCGAGGAUCAUGCAUAUAGAGACAAGCUUGUUGGAUAGCAAAAGAAAUUUCAGGAUGAGUAAUGGUAAGAUACUGAAGGGCACCGGCAAUACUACAAUAAAGAGUAGGAUCAUUGAAAGAAUCACCAUUGGCAGAAAGUUUGAAACUAGCACUACUAGGAAAAGCCUAGUAGUAGCGCAGGUGCCUGCUCUGCUACUACGGCGCUACAGCUAACUAGUAGUAGUAGCGCGGUGCAUCCCGCGCUACUAGUACGUGUGUUAGUAGUAGCGCGAGUUCGACACGCGCUACUACUAACUAUCCGUAGCGCGUGUCUGUGACCCGCGCUACUACUAUUAAUUUGAAAAACCAAAAAAAAAAUCUUGACCCCGUGCGUGUUGUCAAUCGUGCAAGGAGAUCUCGGCCAUGACGCCCGCCUCGUGGAAGCCGUCAAGGUCGGCCGCGGAGGCCAGCCCGGUGUGGGCCGGGAGCUGGAGGACCUGGAUCUUGGCAUCAUGCGUGGGGAGCAGCACCUUGCGGCAGCCGUCGCCAUUGAGGUCAGCGGCGGGAGACGGUCCACGACGUGCUUGAUCGGGAACCCGUCGUACGACAGGUGGUACCAUGCCUCCUGGAACGAUAAGUCGCCCUUGUGCUGCCGGAGGAGGAGGGGGUGGGUCAGCUAGGGUUCCGGAUCGAAUCGAAGAGGGGGGGAGGAGGAGGAGGAGGAGGAGGGCUGACCUGGAGUGAGAAGAAGACGGUGAAGGCGGGAGGAGGACGAUGACGAGGUCGCGCUUCCGCAUCUUGGCGGCGGCGAGGAGCUCAGGCGACCGCCCAUCGGAGGGAUCUCGGAGAGGGAGGGGGGAGAAAGCAGAGUGUGCCAACGGCGGCCACCGCUGGAGUACGAGGGAGAGAGGAGGAAAGUGAGAGAGGGGGAAAGUGAGGGAGAGAGGAGGGAUUCGGCCGAGGAUUCCACCUACCUCGUACUUAGUAGUAGCGAGGGGUAUAAAACCGUGCUACUACUAUCAACUUAGUAGUAGCGCAGGUUUGUAACCCUCGCUACUACUAUGGCAUGUCCGGGGAGGGCACGGUAGAGACCGCUUAGUAGUAGCGCGGGUUAAAAACCCGCGCUACUAGUAUCAACUUAGUAGUAGCGAGGGGUAAAAACCCGCGCUACUAGUAAGUAGAAUUAGCGAGGGUUAUAAACCCUCGCUACUUGUAAGUGUCUGCCUAUAAGAGAGUGUUUGUUUUCAGUGACUUAUUGGUUUAGGGACUUAAAAAAGUCCCUAUAAGUCCCAUCUAAACCAAAUAGAAGGGACUUAUAGGGACUUAAAGUGGGCAUUUGGGACUUAUGAAAUAAGACUCUCAAGGAGGGACUUAUAGGGACUUAUAGUUGUAAUAUGGUCUUAUAGGGACUUAUAAGUCCUAGGAACCAAACAGGUAGGGACUUUUUAGGGACUUGGGACUUAUAAGUUGGGACUAAAAAAAGUACUAGGACUUAUGAACCAAACAGGGCCUAAGCUUUUCCCUAGUAGUGUAGUAUCGACAGGAGUAUGGGAAGGAUGACAAUCUAGCAUACCAGCACGGUUGAGAAGAUCUAGGAUCUAGCCAAGUAAUAGUCUAACAGUAUAAAUUUUUACAUCACCUGCUCUAAGUGAUGCCAAUUUACAUUACCAACCGCCAGUGAUGCCAGAUGCAAAACGGCCAGCCGCACGACAACCCGACCGCCACCAAGAAAGUUCUCAAUUGAUGAUCCCUUUUCCGCCGCCGUCGUCGAUGUCCGAUUCAUGCUAGAUCCCGCGCCUCCCCGCUGCCCCGGCCACCUUCGGCACCUCGCCCCCGCCACCGGGCCGCCAUGGCUGCCUCAUCCUACCCCUCAGUCGCCGCUGCCGCUCCCGUGCUCGUUCUCCCAUGGCGGCGCCGCCGAGGAUCCUCGAGGUGUGCCGGUUCGAGUUCACUGUUGAGGAGAUGGAGCUCGGCGCGCUCCACAUCCAGCUGUCGUUGUGCUUCACAUCCAGCACCAGCGGAAGGAUGAGGUUCCACCGCAUCUGCCCCGCUUUUCUACUGCCCCAUCACCCCCGUGUCGUCGCCCCGCCCCGCCUCAGUUGAAGCUUGGCCUCCACCCGAAUCGAGCUCCGUCGGCCCUCCCCGCCGCAUUUGAGGCUCGGCCGCCGGCGUGUUUCGAGCUCUGCUGCCACCCCGCCCCGUCCCGCUCCUCGUUUCGAUUUGAAGCUCGGCCACCCAAUUUGAGCUCCCCCGCCAGCGCAUGUAUCCAUGCUCGGCUGCCGGCACCCGUCUCGACUCAACUCUCAGCGGCAGCCAAGCCGUCGUCAUGCCGCUGAAGAACUAGUUUUACAUCUUCAAAUACAUCAUUUGUUGGAGCACUAGUUUUACAUCACCAAAUAUACAUCAUCGGUUGGAGUUCAGACUUUUUUGAUGAUGUAAAAAGCAUUUUACCUAUUUUUAUAUCUGUAAAUAUACAUCUUCUAUUGGAGAUGCUCUCAGAAAACACACUUUGGCAUAAAAGGCUGUCACUUGUGCUGCCAAUAGCACAAUUCUCUGCAAUACUGUACGCAAUGUUCUGAAACUGUUGAUUCUGUUCCAAGAUAUCCUUGCCACUUUAGAAAACGUAUAUAGUUGAUUUUCAUCCAAUAGUUGGCAGCUAAUAGUAGAAGCCAACUACCAACCGUAAAGAGAAGUGCAUACCGGCCGUUCAGAAAUAUAUUCUUUUGUCAUCAAACGAUGUUUGUCAUGAACUCAUAGCCUCAUAGUACAUGCAGGUGAUAGAUAGGCACAGCGUGCCAAGCUAAGAACCAAAGCAUCAACAGGGUAGUGACUCCACUCUCAUCUACUCCCUCCGUUCCGAAUUACUUGUCACAGAUAUGGAUGUAUCUAGAUAUAUUUUAGUUCUAGAUACAUUCAUUUCUGCGACGAGUAAUUUGAAACAGAGGGAGUAUUUAUCUGCUCCAUAUAUCAGUUUCCUCGUCAUUAAUUUUAUCGAACUAUCAUGAAACAUAUUUUCUUUCUAAUAUAUAUUUUUCCAAGCCUGUUCGAAGACAAUGUGCGCAUGUCAACUUGCAUUUUGGAUCGAAUGGAGUAACUAAUGUCAUCUCUUGAAGGUAGCUUAAUUCACGGAUUCCAUUGCGUCUAGCAUGCAUAGCUACAUAUCUGGAGGAAGAAUCCACAUGCUAUCGUAAUGAUUGCUAUCGACGAAGUACCCUGUCGAUUUGAUCCUCUUCACAUCAUCGCUGGUGUCCUUGUUCUUCCAGUCCUCUACCCUGUAAUACUUCCUGUCGCCAAAGUCGGUUGGGAGUGUAAAGAAUAAUAUGGCACCAUGGGGGACGACAUCAUUUUUACUCAAGCAACGAGAGUAAUAGAUGUGGUUUCUCUCCAGAUGGCCAACCUUGCCAUCCGGCACGCGCACCGCCUUAGAGAAGGUUCGGCCCAAGAACAAGGCAUGGUCGUCCAAGCUCGUCACCUCCACCCACUUGUGCUUGCAAGACGUUGCUGGUCCAUCGCCAUGGAUGUCGACGAGCUCAAAGACCUUGAAGAAACCUUCGGGGUUUCGUGAGCAGCGGGCGCUUAUCGCCACCGCAAUCUUGCCGUGCAGAUCAAAGAUGUAGGACUUCUCCGACUCCGACACGUAUUCCUCCCACAAGGGGCAGUUGAGUAGGUUCGCAGCAGUGACCACGGGUUCUCCGUCCUCAUUCACGCCUAUCUCGAACUUGUAGACAUCACCUUGGAACUUUGUGAGGCCGUAGAGCUCGCCGUUGCAAAAGGUGAUGUCCUCCAGUCUCCUGCUGUGCCUAUGUUUUUGUCUCGUCCACACGCUGUCCGGAUAGCCAACUCUGCAGAGCGCGAUGCCACGGUACUCGGUUAUGGUGGCGAGGGUACAUCCAUCUGAGGUGGGCGGCUUGGAGAAUACGAGUUUGUCGUAGCAGAAGAUCCCCCGCUGGUUCUCGGGGAGCGCCACCUCGGCGCCGGAGAAGAGGUUCGUAAUUCUCAGUGGCGGGGACGAGACGACCCAGCCACCGUCGUGGCAGCCGACGAGCCGCUCGCAGCUCGGGAGCUGGAUCCAGACGAUGGCGUCGGCGCCGUCCUCGGGGCAGUGCAGGUACUUAGUAUCGCUGCAGUCGGAGGACUCGAGGAGCAGCCAUGGCAGCGCGGGAGGGGGCACCUCCGCACGCGCCACAGCGCGCCACGAUCGGCAGACUGCGGCGAAGCGCACGCGGCCGCGCGCGGAGGCGACCAUGCCGUACACGACGGCGAGGAUGUCAUCUGGGAACGCGGACGACCAGCACCGCAGCCUGCCCGUCGUCGCCGCACGCGCGCGCUUCGCUUCGGCCGGUUCGUCGCCGGCGGCGGCCAUCUGGGUGGCGUACGUGUGGAGGAAAGCGAAAGAGUUGGUGCGCGCUAGGUUUAUUUGCUUGUUGCGCAAUCAGUGCGGGCACGAAUCGGUUGGAUAUUACUACCAAUAAUCACGGCACGGUUAGCGGGCAUCAAUCUUUUGGAAAAUCUAUGUCCAUAUUUUAUUUAUUUAUUGCUAAUAUUUGUCCAUAAUUUGUACUCCCCAGUCCCAUAUUGAACUUAAUUGGAACAUUCUGCAGAAUUUGCAGAAAUAAUAAGCUUCACGCAAAUCGUUAAUUCCACGCAAUCCAAACAACUCAUGCUGGAAAUUAGCGUCAAUAUAUUAAUUCCAUCAAAUCUUCAUCAGCUACGAAUUUCAACAAAAUUUUACUCGCAUGCUGAAACGCCACAUAUGCAUGGUACGUAGGCAUCCAUCACAGCCUCAUUACAUUUGUCAUGAAAUAUAUAUUCACGGACAUAUAAUUGAUGUUGUAUAUUUUUGUUUAGACAGACAGCAACUUCAAGUUGAGUAAUAGAAAACGCUAUUUCCAGGUUCAAAAAACAAAAUUCUAUGGCCGGCCUGUAAAAUGUAUCGUGGAAAAGGUGGCUUGGAUCGGAAGGCUUGGGCUGUGGCUGGCUUGGUUAUCACUAAAUUAGUUUCAGAUCAAAGAAAAGGCCUAAAUUAGUUUCAUUAUAUUGCCCAUAAAAUAAAAUUUCCAUGUACUGAAAUAAAGAAAAGUUUGGCUGCCACAAAGCUCAAGAUUUGCUCAAGAUUGAUGAGAAACAAAAUUUGGAAGCAUUAACCCUCCACAAGGUAUAAUCCACUACUUACUACAACAUCAGGCACAAAAACUUUCAGCUAGACUAGUCAACAGGGGAUUUUCAGCUCAUGUUCAAAUAUUCUAGUCGGCUAG